CCAUGUCGUCCCUGACACGGCGUUCACAAAGCUGUUCAGUUGUGCUUUCAUGCUGGUGGGCUUUGGAUUUGUCGGUGUCCUGCUUAACGGCAUGAUCACCUACAUCUGCGACUGGCAAGAGGCGGUUUUGCUGAGCACUGCGGGUCAAAACAAGUAAAAUGGGAUGUUCAGGACUUAUAUGAUCGACAGAGAGAAGGGAAGGAUGAGAAUUAGGACGAAAGUGUGCGUGGCUUUGGCGGUUGUGAUUAGUUGCACAGCUAUAGGGACUAUCGUCGUGCAUUUCAUGGAGGACUUGAGCUGGGUAGACAUUUUUUAUCUGUCCGUUACAUCCGACAGCCGGUACGCAUUCACGGCCUUGGCAGGAAGACGUUUCGCCAGAAUUUGGCUAGUGAUAAGCACAUUGGCAGUGGCCGGGGCGACCGAGCUGAGGAUCGACCAGAGGAAUCGUAGAAUCGCGAAAUGGGUUCUGCAGAAGAAGAUGACCCCUGGGAUCUAGUUGCUGCAGACCUUGAUAACGAUGGAUCCAUCAGGUGAUUGUUUCUGCUUGGUCUGUGAGCCUCCGCUAGAUUUGUGCAAUUCCCAUUUUUUUUUUCCUGAAACUUUGCUAAGUUGACUAGUAACUCCUGUCAUUAUCUAGACAACUAUCAACACAUUGCUGCUAUUGGAUAAACAUUAGAACAAUAGACAUCAUUGGAACAAAAAGAUUCGGAAGAAAAUUUCAGAACUGACGCCUUAGGAGAUUCUCUUCUCCACAUUUGUGCACCCGAUAGAUAUAAAAGAACCAAGAAACGAGCUUCUCUUUUCCUUUAGUCCAAUAUGUAAUGCCAUUCUUAAACUUUUAAUAUAUUUAAUACAGUCUUUAGACAUUUUGUAUAUAUUUAGCUUAGUUCUUAAAUUGAAUGAAAAUGUUCUAUGUUAUCAUUCCAUUAAUUUAAGUGCGGGAACGGCAUUGAACAUUUACAUAUAGUCUAAGGACCACGUAUCGAAAGUUUGAGGAUUAUGUUGAACAAAUUGAAAAUGCAGAGACGAUAUUACUCAUUGGGUUAAAAUAAGGGAUUACAUAAGACAUUGAGUCAAAGUUAAGGGACUAUUUGUGUCAUUUUCCUUUUACUUUUCCAGGCUCCCAGCAAAUCUGAGUUUAGGAUCCAUAUGGUCAUUGAUUAUAUGUUAAAAAGAAAAAAAAAAAGACUUCGUUAAAUGGAAAGAUUGAGAAGAAGAUAACGGGGAAAAAGGAGGACCAUAAUAAUAUUAAUUGAGAACAAUUAUGUCGUCAAUUAGAAAGUUAUAUACAGAAUUCUUGACCAGCAUGGUGCUGUAAGUGACUCUAUUUCUUGGAUAUCUAUUAAAAGUGAGGAAGAAAAAAUGAAAUUAAGCACAGAGGAACUUACAGCACCAGAAGCCAACAAAGAACUCAUCUACGGCUAGAUUAAAUGAAAACAACUAGGAAUAGCACUUUCAUUGCGCAACACAAAAUUAUGUACAGUUGGCCAUUCUCUUGAGAAUGGUAAUAUAUUUAUGAUUAAUACUACUUAUAUUAUAGAUCAUAUAUAUAUAUAUAUAUAUAUUUUAAAUAUAUGAUAAGACAGUGAUCUUAAACUUUUAAUCAAGCGAGUAAUACGAUAAAUAUGUCGAACAUUUGGCGUUAGGAGAAGAGAUGGAUUGAAUUGAGAUAAAAAAGAAGAAGUAAAUCGCAGAAAAAAAAAGGCGUAGUAUUAGUGUCAUUUUUCCUAUAUGUGAAAAUAAAAAUCGGGCAGAUUUUUUCUACUCGGAGUAGAGCAUAAGCCUAAAAUAAUUGAAAAAAGGCUCAUUAAAGAACUAGAAAAUGACAUUGUGAUUUGGAUUGGGUCUCAAUGAAAUAAAACAUGAAUGAUAAGUUAAUUUCGUAAGUUUAACGGAUUUUUGGCGGAAGGAAGGAAAAAAAAGAUUUAAAAAAAAAUAAUAAUAAAAGGGAUAGCGAUUAGGGUUGUUCUCCCGAGCCCUCCCCUCUCGCGCCUCCGAGCUCUCCCCUCUCGCCUCCUCUCCUCUUCGGACGAGCUCUCUCUCUCUGUCGACGAUGAAGCUUUCCAAGAGCCUGGCCAUGACUGCCAAGAUGCGCCCAGCGAUUCGUCCUGUGCUGAGGCCAGUGGCUCGUUCGGGGUAAGUCUCGAACCUAAAGUCCCGAUUCGCGAUCCCUCUCUUCUUCGAUCGGUUGAAUGAACCCCUAGGGUCUCGAUUAGCGAACUCUUUCUUCUGUAUCGGGAAUGGAUGACGGUUUUAUGGAAUCGCCGCGAUGUUGCUGAGAUAGAUUCCUUUCUGCAUUUGGCUUGGCUGUAUAGAAUGUUUAAGACCUCAAAGCGCUCUGGCGGGAAUGAACCCUAGGGUCUCAAUUAGCGAACUCUUUCUUCUGUAUCGGGAAUGGAUGACGGUUUUAUUGAAUCGCCGCAAUGUUGCUGAGAUAGAUUCCUUUCUGCAUUUGGUUUGGCUGUAUAGAAUGUUUAAGACCUCAAAGCGCUCUGGCAGCGGCAGCAGCAGCGGCGGCGGCACUGGCGGCACUGGGGGCUCUGGGAGCUCUGGGAGCUCUAGUAGCUCUGGCCCCUCUUGGGGCUCUAGCAGCUCUGGCAGCUCUAGCAGCUCUAGCAGCUCUGGCAGCCGUGGAAGCUCUGGGAGCGAUUGGAAUCCGAAUCGAGAAUUCGCAUUUGACAUUUUUGUGUGAGUGCGCUAUAUGAAGUAGAUUUUUUUCCGUUUUAAUUGUUAGUCGCGGUUGUUCUUACCAAUUAAUGCAUGACAGGGAUGAAUUCAAGAGGACCAAGCAGUGCAAAUCUAUGGUGAAAAAAAUGGUGAAAAAAAUGGUGAAAAAAUCUGCAAGUGAGAAAUGGUCGGCUCUGUCUGAGGAGGUAAGAUACGCAUCAUUAGCUCCUAGCUCCACAAAUAGAUGCAUUCUGAUUCGGCCCUCCCUCUCUUCACACAGGAGAAAGAGUGGUACGACGAGAAAGUCGUGCAAAGGAAUUUGGAAUUCGAACAAUGUAUCCAAGUUUAUUUGAAAUUGAUGAAGGUAAAUUUUCUUAUUGUUCCUUUUAAAGAAACCUCGGAUAAAUGGCUAAAUGUAAUGUUUCAUCUGUGCUAGGAUUUGGGCCAGGAGCAUGAAGAGUCUUCAAUGUAGGAGGAGGAGGAGGAGGAGGUUUACCAGGGAGUUCUGUAAAUAAAUUCUGAGUAAACUCUAAGACAUCUAUUUUCUGAGUAAAAAUUUGCUGAUGAUAGUACGUCCAAGGCUUAUGUUCUGUUUUGGCUGUUAACAUCCCCAUGGGAAAAUUUUGUGGAACUUCCGGUCCUUCCCAUGCUAAAGGGUGACGCCAUUCGUUUUGCUUGUUUAUCGACUUUAUGUUCAAGAUGAUUGAGCAAUCUGUACUGACAAAUGAACUACGUAGGAUGAAGCCACUUACCCUACUUCAGAAGGGCAUUAGCUUUUGAAUAGUGUGCUCUAGCAUACAGAGGAGGCACAGAUGUGAAGAUGUGUGCUCAUGGUCAUCUUUGGUAUGUUAAUACUGAGAAAAGACCAAAUCACUUUCGGUCUCCCAUAUUAUUUAAUGAUGUGCUAGUACUAUACCAAGUAGGAAUGAGAAACCUAGUGAUCCGGCUUCGACCGGACAUUUUAGACAGUUAAAUUCCAAUGCCUCACUUGUUGAUAAAAGGAAUGCUGGAUUUCAAUAACGGCAUCCAAGGGGGCAUUUUUCUUCAUAAGAGUUCGAAGGCCACUGGUUUGAUAGGGCCGAUAAUGUUGACUCCGUAUCUUAAAAAACUCGUUCUAAUGUGAUCUCAAAGGUGGCUCCAUGUGUCGUCGGUCGUCUCCCUCUGCUAUGCUUUGCUGGCUUUAAUUUGGUGUUCUUGAGCAUGUUUCUGUCAAUUCUGUCGUACUAUUUUCUCAUGUACUUUACAUCUGCACCGCAAGUUGCACUGGAUUUCUUCUGGCUUUCAUUACCCAGAUUACAUUCUUUCUUCUUCUUUUCUAUACCGCGAUGCGGCCAUUUUUUAUGAGCAUCGGGAUAAUGUGUUUCUAUUACAGAGCUUAUUUCUGCAUGCUAAAUGUACAGCUCAAGUUAUGUCUUUUCCUAUCCCCUAGUCUAAUCGCUAGGUUCGCUGUAAUGGCUAUUCGGAAUUUGGAUUCACUCCUAACAGGCUAUCGGCUUUACUCCAGAAAAUUCCAUUCUGAAGAGUGUAAGUGAUUCGCAAUUUUACUUCUUGAGGCGCUUACUCUCGAUAUUUGAAGUCCAUUGCAAUGCCUGUGCCAUGAGAGGAGAAUUGCAGAUGCUUCUUUUUUUAAAACUAAUUCCAUGACUACUGUAUUCUCCUAGUGUACUGAUGGCAGUUGAGAGUGAUGAAUAGUGUGAGAUUAAUGUAGGUCCUCUGUACGAAAAGCAAACCAAAUUGCGAUGCCUGUCCCAUGAGAGAGAAUUGAGACACCGUGCAAUAAUUAGAAUCGGAUGGAGAAAGUCCAAGUUAAAUUUUCUAGAUUUAAUAUCUUCCUUACACACGAACUAGGCAGGUGCAUCUAUUUCUGGUACUGUUGGGCCAUUUGAUUUAUCCUGAUUACCACUUUAUAGUGCUUGAAAUGUAGAAUAUUAACAGGGUAGGAGGGGCAAAGUGGCAGCAAAACAUGGGAUAGAGAAUUCUAUUUUCUUGUCAAUUUCAUACCAAAUAAUGCACAGCAUAAAUUUCAUAAAGCAGGAAACAGAAUUGGGGCAUCAUCAUCCGUAUUUCCAAAACGGUUACAUAAUUUGAGCUUCGUCAUUCAUCUUUGGACUUUUAAACAACUCAAGAAGCUGACUGAGAAUGAGAGCAGCUAUUUCAUCAAAGCUACGAGGACUGAUUGCUGCGGAGAAUUUACUUAGCCAUUUUCAACAAAUUUUAUGAGGAUUAUGGUAUUGGCCAUCAACAAAUUCUAUGAAGAUUAUGGUAUUUGGCAUUUCUUGACGGUUUCGUAUUCUUCUCUUCUCGACAAAAUGCAAGAUGUGUAACUGAAAUGUCGAAUAGAUAAAUAAAAUGACAAAAAGGAUAAAAAGAUAUAGAAUCUUCUGAGACUUGUUAAUUGAGUGGAUUGGUAUUAGACUUCUUAAUUGAGUAGAUUAGUGUUUUUCGUCUCCUAGUUUCACUUUGAAAAUUCCUAAUUAAAAUGAAUACUUUGCUAAUAAAUGAAAUAAUAAAAAAGAUCAAUUUUUUUUUUUUUAGUUUAAAUUCAAUGAGCCAAAUGUUCCCGUCCUGUUUUUCUAAUUGUAGAAUAGAUAUUAAUUAACAAAACGACUGAAAAAUUGGAACGUUAUCAAAUGGAGUUUUGGAGAUGCAAAUAUUGCGAACCUGCCAAAGUGCUCGAUUUUGCCCGCGCGAGGAGGCGUGUAAAAUUCAGUUCGGGCGCUCCAGACGGCGAGCGCCUGCCGGUUCUCCACGCCAUCACCCCCGCCGAACCGAGGCGAUCCAUUUCUCCAGAUCCUCGGAGCAGUGCUCGUCUCGAAUGCCACCGCGUUGCUACGGCGGCGACUCUCCUCCUCAUUCUUCAAGGCCUCCCGUUCUCCCCGCAGCUUCGCUCCGUCCCUCUUCUUCGCUCUUCCUCUUUCCGGUUAAAUUUUCCCGAUCCUCUCCUUAUAGAGCUAAAGCUUCUCCAUGACCUCGACGGAUGCCAGAGAUUUCGUAUAUCGUGCCUUUUAAGUUUCGUUGUUUUUAUUUUCUUUUGUUUUGAUUGUGUCGGUGUCGACUCUGCUGGCCUGGAACAGCCGGGCUUGGACUUCGCGUUGGCCGCAUUACCUGGAUUUGGAAGGAUCGCGCCAUGAACUAAUUCUAGGAAACCCAAUCUGGCGCGCAUGCCUUUUCUACGACGCUUGCACAAUAGCCUGUUCGCCAUUACGCGAUGGUGAGAACUGAUAUUCGAUCUUUGAAUUGAAGAAUCGCCCCCGGCUUUGCGGGAAUUCGUGCUGGCGAAGGCAGCAUGCUGGGCGAGGAUCUCUGGACCGAUGGGCUCGUUUGUGCCUUGGAGUUUAGACGGGCAGGAGGAGAACGAAGGAGCGCGAGUCUGGAUGUCAACACAGUGUUGCAUGCCACGGCCAGGAUGACGGAAACAGUGCCGCGGCCAUGCUCUAGAAGAAUUUCGAGGGGGUCAUCGGGUGCCAAUUGGCUGGCUUAGAAUACACCAACUCAUUGACUUUGGGGAUAGCGAGGAUGAUGUCGCAAUUGCGGACACAGCAACUCCAUGCUAGGAGCGGCCAGUGGGCCCCACUUGGUGGUGCCAUGUAGCGGCAGAUCACCCAUUCGUCCAAUCAUGGUUGAGCAAUGCACAGUGGCUACAUCCUGCCAUAAGUAUUUCUCUGCGCGAUGAAAGUAGGCUGAUGAGUGAACGAACGAAGCACCUACUCUAUGAGGCAAUCAAAAUGUGUAAUGGUCGACAUAUCCUUUCGUGGCCGGUUUUUAUAAAUUAAAAGAGAUUAUUUUCGUUUGAAGUUUCGAUAUUCUUAAGAUGUCUGCUUACUGUCUCUCAAAUUAGAUUGAUUUAAGAUGGGUUUUACUUGCAUUUGACUUGGCUCAAUGCCUUUCAUACUCUUGGUUUUCCUGCCUUUCGACCCUCUCGACAAAGAGUCACCGAAUGGACAUCUUUCUUAGGUCCGUGAUACACCUGUGACUGAACAUCUGAGCCAGUAAACUUCCUUUUCUGUUCAAGUAUCCCUUUCUUCAUCGUAGUUUGUUCUCUUGGUGCUCAGUUUGCUGCUGACAUUGCUGUGAGUGUAAGCAGGAAGAAGAUAGCUGUAAAUGCCAGUCUACUAUAAUCACCAAAUAGACAAUCCAAUGCCACAAGAGUCUAGUAAACCUAUUUUCCACCUCUAAUAGAUCCUUGUGGAAUGAGCAAGUACAAAAAAAUUGGUGUGGUACAGAAUUUCCGAUCCUGUUUUGAGAUAAUGUAGUAAAAGAUUGGUCGUUAGGCUGCCAAGAUUAUAAUCGGGGUCAGUCUUGCCUAGGUUAGUGUGAACACUCAAACAUGUUAAGGCAAAGUUUCUAUCGUAGUAGAAAGAGACUGGAAAUUCUGAUCUCAUCAAGGUUUUAGUACAGCCUAGGUGGAAUGUCAAUUUCUCAAUGAGUUUCAUAUGUCACUACAAUUUUGAAGAAUAAUGACUCGGGUCAAGAUUGACGAGGUAGUAGACCACUGAUCAUAAAAACUUAGUGUCAUGGGAACAAGUACAUACAGACUCGUUGUUUCUUUCCACCUUCUCUGCUACAUAAUUUGGGAAGCCUCAAAUGUAUGGUGUACUCUAAUUUUGAAUUCAUUUCCUUACAGGUUCCAGCUAGAGUUGCUGGUGGCCUUCCAUUUGAGAUGUCGGGGUAGUCGGCUCGUGAUCCAUCAUGCACUGAUGAAGAUGAUAUACCCAUUGUUUUACGGUCAUGGCAAGCUAAAAAAUUUUUAACUUGCGUCACUGCACAUCAGAGGUUCUGCCACCGUUAUUAACAUCUUAGGUGUUUUGGAAGUUCAAGUUUGUCCGUCAGAUUUGUAAGUUUUGUUUUUAUUUUCUUUCUUUUCUGGAAUAUAUCUUCCAUUAAGCAUUUUUUUCCCCAAAAGCACCACUAGUUUUCUUGUCAUUCUUUAUGUAAGGAACCGCUUGUUGCUGGAGGUUCUAACAUCCCACAAAGCAUUCAUGAGGUUUUGGCACAUCUUGCCGGUCGCUUGCCACGAUGGAUGACACGUGUGUAUACUUUUCGCCCGAUCUAUACUUGCAAUGCUUAUUGACCGAUGGCAGUGUUUGCUGUCAACAAAUAAGGUGAAUCUUGAUGCCCGCCUCAUGAAGGUCUGAUCUCCUUCUACCUCAAAAAAAAAUGCUGCAAUUGAUUGAUUGGCUUGUGGACAUGGGUUCUAGGAGUGUGUUGGCUUGUCGCCAUUUUAGGUUAUUAGAGUGAAAUGGUCACUUCAUGCGAGAGAGGAAAUAGUAUCUGAGCGUGCAUGGACCUUGCUGGAAAGCAUACAAAAGAGCACAAGGGAAAUGAUUGAGGAACAAGAAGCAGUCCGGGGCGGGCUUUUUUCGAUCCAAGAUGUCAUGUGGAUUACAGUUCGUGGGUGGUUACAGAUUUUCCUACAGUUACAACAUCUUUUAGCCUUUUCUCUUUUGAAUUUUAUGAGCUAUGACAUGAAGGUAUCGAGCAUAUAAUGAGCCAUGUCAUUGAUAAGAUCUCUGUUUUCGGUUAUUUAUAAGUUAGCAUUAGUUUUGUAGAUUGGUAGGUACGAUUAGUAGUUGUGAUACUUGGUGGUAGUGACAUUUGAAAUUGCAACAACUAACUUAGAGGUUUUCUAACUAUAACUCCUUCUAGAAUCAUUCAUGUCGACUAGCAUUGUCAGAUCACUGGUGAACCUUUAUAUAUAAAACAAUGAUGCAGUUAGUCUUAUAAUAUGCUCGGUACUCAUUUUAGUCUAUUUUUUUUUUUGUAUGGAUUAGUGCGGUGGAAGUGUUGUGAAAGUAUGAUAUGUUGCUUGUUCUCAUUCUUAUAUGUAAGGUGUUUGCUCACAUUUUCCUAUUUUUAAUACUAGGAUAAGAGCCUCACUGUUACACACAAGCUAGGAGUUUUUGGAGGGUGUGGUCUUGUCCUAUCUAUCAUCACUGGACCUUUUGGAAUCAAUGUCGGCGGAAUUCCAAGAUUAGAUGAGUCGCCAUAUGUACUUUCUCUAUUUUCUUGCUUCCUGCCCUUUCUGGGAGCUACAUUGAUCGCACUUGGUCUCUUUUACCUUGGCUUAGAGCACCCCAUUGUUGAAGAGAAUGUUGAGGUUAGAAAGUUGGAGCAUCAGGAGCUGGUUCAUAAGUUUCAGCAUGAAGCGGAAUCUCACGCCAAAGUUUGCGAAAAUGUCCCUUGAAAAAAUGUACCUCUUACUGUUGCAGAUCUACUCCCAAAUGGUGCGGGUUAAACCCUCCUCAGCUGAAAACAUAACAUCAAAGUAUGCCCAAUGUGCGGAUGAUCUAUUGCUGCUUCAUGAGAUAUCGAAUAUGUCUAUGCAAUUCACAGCCUUGAUCUUUAGCCAUCAACUAAAUCUUUGCACUGAAGUUCGUUCUUGGUUGAACAUGGUCAUCGCAUAUGAAAGGUCGCUUGUGCAUAUGCAAAAAUCAGCUUGAGCUCCGUGGCCUCUAGCAUUCUUCGGUACAUAAAUUUGUAGUUAUGGUGAGUGCCAAUCUAUUCUUUUGCACAUACCAACGGCUCAUAGUCUUUUAGUCCGGAUCUAGUGCACGAUUGCGGGGUUAAAUUGUUAGUAAUAUGACAAAGUAAAAAAACAAUUGGUGCGGUACAGAAUUUCCAGUCUUGUUUUGAGAUAAUGUAGUAAAAGAUUGGUCGUUAGGUGCCAAGAUUACAAUCUGAGUCAAUCUUGCCCAUGUUAAUGCGAGCAUUCAAACAUGUCAAGGCAAAGCUUUUAUCGCAGUGGAAAUAGACCGGAAAUUAUGACCUAAUCAAGGUACCAGUACAGCCCAGGUGGAAUGUCAAUUUCUCAGUGAGUUUCAUACGUCACUACAUUUUGAAGAAUAAAUGACGCAGGGGUCAAGAUUGACUAGGUAGUAGAUCACAUAUCAUAGAGACUUAGUGUCAUGAGAACAAGUACAUACAUAAGCGCUGUUUCUUUCCACCUUCUCUGCUACAUAAUUUGCUAAGCGUCAAAUGUAUGGUGUACUCUAAUUUUGAUUUCAUUUCCUUACAGGUUCUAGUUAGAGUCUCUGGUGGCCUUCUAUUUGAGAUGUCAGGGUAGUCGGCUGGUGAUCCAUCAUGCGCCGAUGAAGAUGAUAUACCCAUUGUUUUACGGUCAUGGUAGGCUCAAAUUUUUUUACUAGCGUCACUACACAUCAGAGGGUCUGCCGCCGUUAUUAACAUUUAAGGUAUUUUGGAAGUUCAGGUUUGUCCGUUAGAUUUGUACAAUCUGAUUGUUUUUUUUUUUUUUUAAUUUCCUAGAAUAUAUCUUCCUUUAUCCAAUUUUUUUUCCCAAAAGGACCAUUAAUUUUCUUGUCAUUCUUUACGUAGGAACUGCUUGCUGCCGGAGGUUCUAACAUCCCACAAAGCAUUCAUGAGGUUGUGGCACAUCUUGCCUGUUGCUUGCCAUGGUGGAUGACACGUGUGUGUACUUUUCGUUCGAUCAAAACUUGCAAAUGCCUUAUUGACCGACAGCAGUGUUUGCUGUCAACAAAUAAGGUGAACUUUGAUGCCCGCCUCAUGAAGGUCUCCUUGGACCUCAAAUAGAAUGCUGCAAUUGAUUUAUUGGCUUGUGCACAUGGGUUCUUCGGAUGUUCACUGGCGAUGUUUGGAGUCAAACGGCAAACAUUCUAUGUACUGGAAGUAGCAAGUUUGCCACAUUUCUGUAAUAUGGCUACACAUAUGCUAAACACGUUCCCUUUUCUCCUCGUAAAUAGGAGAAGCCUCGAAGGCGUGCAUUUAUUUAUGAUGAUUUUAGAUCAAGAGAUCCAAAGGUUAUCAACCUAGGUACACUUCUAUUCUUCUAAUGGAAAAAUGCCUAGCCGAAUGAUCGUUAUCUAUAAGUGUGCUGGGUUGUCGCCGUUUUAGGUUAUUAGAGUGAAAUGGUCACUUCAUGCCUGGGAGGAAAUAAUAGUUGAGCUUCUUCAACACUUGAGAGGGAAUGCUGCAUCGACCUUGUCGGAAUGCAUACGAAAUAGCACAGGGGAAAUGAUUGGGGAACAAGAAGCAGUCCGGGGCGGGCUUUUUUCGAUCCAAGAUUCAUGCGGAUUAGAGUUCGUGCAUGCUUACAGAUUUUCCUACAGUUACGGUAUCUUUCAAUCUUUUCUCUUCUAAAUUCUAUGAGUUUUGACAUGCAGGUAUCGAGAAUAUAAUGAGCCAUGUCACUGAUAAAAUCUCUGUUUUUGGUUAUUUAUAAGAUGGCAUUAGUUUUGUAGAUUGGUGGGUACGAUUAGUAGUUGUGAUACUUGGUGGUAGUGGCAUUUCAAAUUGCAACAACUAACUUAGAGGUUUUCUAACUGUAACUCCUUCUAAAAUCAUUCAUGUCGACUAGCAUUGUCAUACCACUGGUGAACCUUUAUGUAUAAAACAAUGAUGCAAUUAGUCUUAUAAUAUGCUCGGUACUCAUUUUAGUCUUCUUUUUUUUUUUUGUAUGGAUUAGUGCGGUGGAAGUGUUGUGAAAGUAUGAUAUGUUGCUUGUUCUCAUUCUUAUAUGUAAGGUGUUUGCUCACAUUUUCCUAUUUUUAAUACUAGGAUAAGAGCCUCACUGUUACACACAAGCUAGGAGUUUUUGGAGGGUGUGGUCUUGUCCUAUCUAUCAUCAUUGGACCUUUUGGAAUCAAUGUUGGCAGAAUUCCAGGAUCAGAUGAGUUGCCAUAUGUACUUGCUCUAUUUUCUUGCUUCUUGCCCUUUCUGGGAGCCGCAUUGAUCGCAAUUGUUGAAGAGGAUGUUGAGGUUUGAAAGUUGGAGUUUCGGGAGCUACUUCAAAAGUUUUAGCAUGAAGUAGAAUCUCACGCCCAAGUUUGCGAAGAUGUCCCCUAAAUGAAUGUACCUCCUACUGCUGCAAAUCUACUCCAAAUGGUGCGUGUUAUACCCUCCUCAGCCGAAAACAUAACAUCAAAGUAUGCCCAAUGCGCGGAUGAUCUAUUGCUGCUCCAUGAGAUGUCGAAUAUGUUCGUGCAAUUCACAGCCCUGAUCUUUAGCCAUCAACUAAAUUUUUAGCAUUGAAGUUCGUUCUAGGUUGAACAUGGUCAUCGCAUAUGAAAGGUCGCUUGUACAUAUACAAAAAUUAGCAUGAGCUCCGUGGCCUCUAGCAUUCUUCGGUACAUAAAUUUGUAGUUAUGGUGAGUGCCAAUCUAUUCUUUUGCACAUACCAACGGCUUAUAGUCCUUUAGUCCGGAUCCAAUGCACGAUUGCAGAGUUAAAUCGUUAGUAGUAUGUUAAAGUAAAAAACAAUUGGUGCGGUACAUAAUUUCCAAUCCUGUUUUGAGAUAAUGUAGUAAAAAAUUGGUCGUUAGGCUGCCAAGAUUACAAUCUGGGUCAGUCUUGCCCAGGUUAAUGCGAACAUUCAAACAUGUUAAGGCAAAGCUUUUAUCGUAGUGGAAAUAGACCGGAAAUUAUGACCUAAUCAAGGUAUGAGUACAGCCCAAGUGGAAUGUCAAUUACUCAGUGAGUUUCAUAUGUCACUAAAGUUUUGAAGAAUAAUGACUCAAGGGUCAAGAUUGACCAGGUAGUAGACCACAUAUGAUAGAGACUUAGUGUCAUGGGAGCAAGUACAUACAUAAGAUUUGUCCGUAAGAUUUGUAAGUUCUGAUUGUUUUUUUAUUUAUUUAAUUUCCCGGAAUAUAUCUUCCUUUAUGCAUUUUUUUUUCCAAAAUGAUCACUAAUUUUCUUGUCAUUCUUUACGUAGGAACUACUUACUACCGGAGGUUGUAACAUCCCACAAAGCAUUCAUAAGGUUGUGGGACAUCUUGCCUGUCGCUUACCACGGUGGGCGACACGUGUGUGUACUUUUCGUCCAAUCUAAACUUGCAAAUGCCUUAUUGACCGACAACAUUGUUUGCUGUCAACAAAUAAGGUGAACUUUGAUGCCCGCCUCAUGAAGGUCUCCUUCUACCUAAAAAAGAAGGGCGUUUCCAAUUCAAUUUACAAUUUGGCUUGUGCGCAUAAGUUCUCUGGAUGUUCACUGGCAAUGUUUGGAGUCAAACUCCAAACAUUCUACGUACUGGAAAUAGCAAGUUUGCCACAUUUCUAUAACAUGGCUACCCAUUCGUUCUGUUGACUUCCUCGUAAAAAAGGAGGAGAGUUAAAUCAAGCAAGCGAUGUAGGUGUGACUUUGCUACUUUGGCUAUUCAUGCAACAGAGUGCCCAGUUUUUUGGUUCCAUAGGUUCUGGUUAUAGUACUGUAGAUCCUCCUAUUAUCUUUUUCGAGUCCCAAAACUUGAGAUACAUCAGGUUAUGCACUUGAUCAUUUCAUUCCCAUUUGAUGUUUUACCCUUCUAAUGUUGGAAAUUAGCAUGUGUUAAUCGGGUUUUGACAAUACUGUAAUCAAAUAUAAUUUUUAUACUUCCACACAGCUUUAGUUUAGUUAACAGAAAACUUAUUACAUUGCAUCUGUCGUCAUUUUCUUGGUUUUCUGCUAAUUCAUUUUUCAUGUUGCUUUUCUAGAUUAUUCCACAAAAAUAUCUUUGGUGCAAUUGAUGAAAUUCAAUUCAUGUUUAUGAACAUGUGCUCCUUAUGCCGCCAUCUUUUGUUAGAAGAAAAAGUAAUUUAAUGCAUAUUAUAUGCAUGACACAUAUGCUAAACACGUUCCCUUUUCUCCUCAUGGAUAGGAGAAGUCUCGAAGGCGUGCAUUUAUUUAUGAUGAUUUUAGAUCAACAGAUCCAAAGGUUAUCAACCUAGGUACACUUCUAUUCUUCUAAUGGAACAAUUGCUAGCCGAACGAUCGUUAUCUAUAAGUGCGCUUGGUUGUCGCCGUUUUAGGUUAUUAGAGUGAAAUGCUCACUUCAUGCGAGGGAGGAAAUAGUAUUUGAGCUUCUUCAACACUUGAGAGGGAAUGUUGCACGGACCUUGCCGGAAAGCAUACGAAAGAGCACAAGGGAAAUGAUUGAGGAACAAGAAGCAGUUCGGGGCAGGCUUUUUUCGAUCCAAGAUGUCAUGCGGAUUACAGUUCGUGCGUGGUUACAGGUUUUCCUACAGUUACGAUAUAUUUUAGCUUUUUCUCUUCUGAAUUUUAUGAGCUAUGACAUGCAGGUAUCGAGCAUUAAUGAGCCAUGUCGUUGAUAAGGUCUCCAUUUUCGGUUAUUUAUAAGUUAGUAUUAGUUUUGUGGAUUGGUGGGUACAAUUAGUAGUUGUGAUACUUGGUGGUAGUGGCAUUUGAAAUUGCAACAACUAACUUAGAGGUUUUCUAACUGUAACUCCUUCUAGAAUCAUUCAUGUCGACUAACAUUGUCAUACCACUGGCGAACCUUUAUAUAUAAAACAAUGAUACGGUUAGUCAUAUAAUAUGCCUGGUACUCAUUUUAGUCUAUUUUUUUGUAUGGAUUGGUGCGGUGGAAGUGUCGUGAAAGCAUGAUAUAUUGCUUGUUCUCAUUCUUAUAUGUAAGGUGUUUGCUCACAUUUUUCUAUUUUUAAUACUAGGAUAAGAGCCUCACUGUUACACACAAGCUAGGAGUUUUUGGAGGGUGUGGUCUUGUCCAAUCUAUGAUCAUUGGACCUUUUGGAAUCAAUGUCGUUGGAAUUCGAAGAUCAGAUGAGUCGCCGUAUGUACUUGCUCUAUUUUCUUGCUUCUUGCCCUUUCUGGGAGCCGCAUUGAUUGCAAUUGGUCUAUUUUACCUUGGCUUAGAGCAUCCCAUUGUUGAAGAGGAUGUUGAGGUUAGAAAGUUGGAGCUUCAGGAGCUGGUUCAAAAGUUUCAGCAUGAAGUAGAAUCUCACGCCCAAGUUUGCGAAAAUGUCCCCUGAAAGAAUGUACCUCCUACUACCGUAGAUCUACUCCCAAAUGGUGCGGGUUAUACCCUCCUCAGCCAAAAAUAUAACAUCAAAGUAUGCCCAAUGUGUGGAUGAUCUACUGUUGCUCCAUGAGAUGUCGAAUAAGUCUAUGCAAUUCACAGCCCUGAUCUUUAGCCAUCAACUAAAUCUUUGCACUGAAUUGGACAUGGUCAUUGCAUAUGAAAGGUAGCUUGUGCAUAUACAACAAUCAGCAUGGGCUCCGCGGCCAUUAGCAUUCUUCGGUACAUAAAUUUGUGGUUAUGGUGAGUGCCAAUCUAUUCUUUUGCACAUACCGAUGGCUUAUAGUCCUUUAGUUCGGAUCCAAUGCACGAUUGCAGGGUUAAACUGUUAGAAAUAUGUUAAAGUAAAAAAACAAUUGGUGCGGUGCAUAAUUCCAGUCCUGUUUUGAGAUAAUGUAGUAAGAGAUUGGUCGUUAAGCUGCCAAGAUUACAAUCUGGGUCAAUCUUGCCCAGGUUAAUGCGAACAUUCAAGCAUGUUAAGGCAAAGCUUUUAUCGCAGUGGAAAUAGACCGGAAAUUAUGGCCUAAUCAAUGUACAAGUACAGCCGAGGUGGAAUGUCAAUUUCUCAGUGAGUUUCAUCUGUCACUACAGUUUUGAAGAAUAAUGACUCAGGGGUCAAGAUUGACCAGGUAGUAGACCACUUAUCAUAGAGACUUAGGCUGCGUUUGGGAACAACUUUGCAAAGUCCUUUGGACGUCUAAAGCCCCUUGGGCGAAGGCAAGUGUGUUUGGCAAUUAUUUUUGGGAGCCCAUUUGGGAAAUGCUAGCAUUUGUAAGGCCUUGUAAAGGCCCUUAGCUCAAGGCUCCCUCUCCCCUGCUUUGGCUUUCUGGCAUUCUCGGCAUGCAACAGUACCUCAGUUAAUGAAUUUUUUGAAUUUCCAAUCUUACCCUCACUCGUUAACCAUAAUUCCACAUUUACCCCUUUUUAAUGUCAAAACCCUAAUCCCUCGCCUCUCUCUUCCCUCGCCUCGCGUCUCCUCUCUUCUCGCGUCUCUCUUCCCUCGCCUCUCUUCACUCGAUCGCUUGUCUAACGAAACACAGCCCUCUCGCCUCUGUUAUUCGCUGCACGAACGUUGAUCAGCCAGUGACAUUGCUCACCUGGUCACCUCCGGCCACUUGAUCGAUGGUCGUCGCCAGUCGCCUAGUCGACAGUUGCAUCAUCGCCUAGAUCUAUUGCUGUGAGGCUCGUCGAGGUCGCGGGACCCCGGCAUCACCGCACCUGGCGUGUAACGACGACUGGCCGAACCCCCCCUCUCUCUCUGGUGUGUCGCCAAUCGGGUUGGAGUCACAAAUUACAGCAAGAGUUCCCUAUCUCUCUGAUUGCUCACAGGUUGGACUCUCUCACCACCCAGCAUUCCAAGUUUUCCCAUUUUCCUUUUCGAUUAGGUUCGCGUGCUUUGAAAUUCUUGAAAAAGUUGGGGGAAAUUCUGGGCUGAGCUUGCUGAUUAGAGCGUAUUUGAGUCGGAGCAUUCGCGGGAUCCGUAUAGGAAAAGUAUGGUGGAAUGGUUUGGCUCAAAGCUGGGGGUGGCUUCUUGUGAAUUGCUUACCACGGCUCACGUGAGUUGAUUUGAAUCGAUUAGUUCAGUUCCCUUAUGAGCUUAUUAUUAAUUUUAUGUUGUCUGUAGAAAUAAGUUGUUAUCUUGAUCUUUCCUCGAAGUUAAAUAGGAUCUGUGCUACCAUUUUUAUUGAGCUGUUGAUAUUUUUCCACUAUUUCUUACUGGUUUUGAAGGGAAGAGAAGAUGACAAUAUAGAAACAAUAAAGAAAAUGUUUAAGGUGUUCUUAGAGUCUAGCCUUUUAGUUAUUGAGUAUUACAAUUCUAAGGGAAAAGUCAGAAUGGUGAGGAAAUCUCUAAAUAUGUUGAAAUUCUGUACAUUUAUUUGCCUGAUCUUAUUUCAUUUAAUUAUUUAUCUAUAUUGGCUUUUAUUCAGAUUGAUGCUGGAAAGCUUGUUGAAGAGGUCUUUGAGGUCGUUAAAGUAAUACAAUUUUUGCAUGUUGCGUUCCUGUGCAACUUUUUCUAACAUCAAUGUGUGCAUUUUUGUUUUUUUACGUCGUAAUUGACUCGUUCCCAAAUCCUCAAAGCCCUCACAUUUUCCUCAUCGAAAUCAAUGUUUCAUGGAUCUCCAUCCAUUCUCAAUCUUCAUAUUGCUUUUGUAGUUGAGCAUGCAUCAGCCUUUGGGGUUAUUAUUAAUAUGCAGGACCUCCUCAUGGAGGAUCACGAGUGAGAACUCGUUGAGGAAAGUGCUGAAAGGACAGAUAGUUCCUCUGUUAUUUCAAAUGUUACCUGUUCUCUUGUGCGGCUCUCUUUCCAUUGCUGACCAUGGUUUGAUUUUUAAAUAGGAUUUCCGGAGUAUUUGGGGUGGAGGUCGUGGCCUGUUUACGCUGGUGCUUGAAGUACCACAUCUCUUGGGAUAAAACUAGUGGUCUGCAGAUGCAUUCAAUACCAAAAUUUGGUUCCCUUCCCUGCGUUCAUGAUGCUGGUGUUGUUGUUCAGAGACCCAUUCCUUGGCAUUACAAUCAAAAUGCUAUCACAUCAAGCUGUAAUAUAUCACCGAGAAUAUUAACCUAUACCUUUUAGGCAGUCAUCCUACAGCAAAUUUAUGAGCCUCUGAUGCAAUAUGAAAAUGAUGAUAAGGCUGUAUUUUUAGAUUCGAUACUAGUCUAACUGGAUCUAAUGUUAUUGGAAAGAUUCUUUUGCUUGGUGGGAUUAAAGAAAGAUGGGAGAAGGAAAUUGCUUGGAUGGCUCUUCAAGGUAUCAACUCACCACUAGUUCAAGUCUCUGCGCAAUAUGUUGCUGGAAAGUGGAAAGGAUUGAGCAUAUGGUGAACACGAACAACAAUAUGCAAGUUGAAGUCUCGAAACAGAAAAAGUGAGACAGACAUUAAAUGUGGUUGUACUGAGUAACACUAUUGUAUAGUGACCAUUGCUAAAACAUGUUGGUUUCUACUUGAUUGGUGCUUUUUUUUUAUGAGGGAUUGCUCCUAAGACAUAUGGGUUGAUGCAUGUCAAUUGUACUAAAGAUUGUGGCUUUUAUUUUUCAAACUAAUAUGUUGAUGUAUGUUAAACACUUAUGUUGUUGCACAUCGAUUAAUGCAUAAAUGUGAUUUUUCGAGCAUCCGUUUCCUGUUAGAUGAUGACAUGAGAAUGUUGGCGGUUGCUAUCCCUUGGAAUCGUCCAAGAAUGUGCAUGAAAUAUUUAAGGAUAACAUUUUUUUUUCCUCAAAAUAUAUGUGGCCGUGCUUAUUAUAAUAAAAUUACUUUCUUUUUAAUUGCGAAAAAUCUACCUUAAUGUAUUUUUUGGUUUGUAAAUUUGUUAAUGUCUUUAAUACGUUAUUCUUAACACGCAAAUAUAAAAGUUACAACCAUUGUUUUUUCUUCAAUUUAAAAAAAAUGAAAAAAAAAAACUUAAAUUGGUCAUAGUAAAUGACUUUCCAAAUAUAUGUUUACCAAACAACAUUUCCCCAAAGCCACUUUCCAAGGCAUUUUUGAAUUAUAGUUUACCAAACAGUCUUUGCAUUUUACCAAACCUCUUUAGGCUAAAGGUCUUUGCAUUAUCUCAAAGGCUUUUCCCAAAAGUUGAACCAAACGCACCCUUAGUGUCGUGGGAACAAGUACAUACAUAAGGUUUGUUCGUCAGCUUUGUAAGUUCUGAUUUUUUUUUCUAAUUUCCUGGAAUAUAUCUUCCUUUAUGCAUUUUUUUUUUCCAAAAUGACCACUAUUUUUCUUGUCAUUCUUUACGUAGGAACUACUUACUGCCGGAGGUUCUAACAUCCCACAAAGCAUUCAUAAGGUUGUGGCACAUCUUGCCUGUCGCUUGCCACGGUGGACGACACGUGCGUGUACUUUUCAUCCGAUCUAAACUUGCAAAUGCCUUAUUGACCGACGGCAGUGUUUGCUGUCAACAAAUAAGGUGAACUUUGGUGCUCGCCUCAUGAAGGUCUCCUUCAACCUCAAAAAGAAGGGUGUUUCCAAUUCAAUUUACAAUUUGGCCUGUGCGCAUAAGUUCUCUAGAUGUUCACUGGUGAUGUUUGGAGUCAAACUCCAAGCAUUCUAUGUACUGGAAGUAGCAAGUUUGCCACAUUUCUGUAACAUGGCUACCCAUUCGUUCUGUCGACUUCCUCGUAAAAAAGGAGGAGAGUUAAAUCAAGCAAGCGAUAUAAGUGGGGAUAAGUACACUAAUGGUGCCAUAAGUUGUGUACGGCGCUCACUUUGGUGCCAAAAGUUUCCGUCGGAUCACUUAAGUGCCAAAAAAUUUGAAAAAUGCUCACUUUGGUGCCAACUCCGACGAAAUUGGCCGGAAAUCCGACGUGGCUUUUUUUUAUUAAUUUUUGACGCCGACAUGGCUCGUCGGAGAGUUGAGUCAGCAUCCAAACACCAAAACGACGCCGUUUGGUGUCUCCCCCAAUUCAAAACCCUAAUCUCCGGCCGUCGCCGUCCUCGACGGUCCUUGCGCUCGGCGGCCACGGCUUCGACCCCAACCUCGACGAUGACCACUCAACGGCAGUGGCUCCGACCUCGACCCCGACCCCGACCCCAACGAUGGCCACUCAGCGGCCGUAGCUCCGACCCCGACCUCAACCCCGACCGCGACGAUGGCCACUCGACGGCCGCGGCUCAAACCCCGACCCCGACCCCGACGAUGGCCACUCCACGGCCGUAGCUUCGACCCCGACCCCGACCCCGACCUCGAUGAUGGCCACUCGGCAGCCGCAGUUCGACCCCGACGCCGACCCCAACCCCGGCGACGGGCCACGGCUUCUACCCCCGUCGAAACCCCUAAUUUUCUUCCCCAUGUGAGCUAAACGGGCGUCAUUUCCAUUGAAGCCAUCCCACGUAGGAGGGCAAAACGACUUCUUUUCCUUAAAGAAUGACCGAAACAACGUCUUUAAAGGCUUAUCGAUUUUUUUUUAAAAAAAAAAAAAAUCCUUUUGGCCCGGAAUCUUUCGCCCGGAGGCGGGAAUUCUUUCGCCAGGGGGCCAAAGUGAGCGUUUUUCCUCUGAUUUGGCACUUAAGUGAUCCGACGGAACUUUUGGCACCAAAGUGAGCGCCGUACACAACUUAUGGCACCAUUAGUGUACUUAUCCCGAUAUAAGUGUGACUUUGCUAUUCAAUAGAUCAACAUCUCUACUAGCAAGUAAAAUGUCAUUUACAUAAAGUAAUAAGAAAACAUAUUUACUCACACUUACUUUCAUGUAGAUACAUCGAUCAAACUUGUUUUCUUCAAAACCAAAUGAUCUCACAACCUUGUGAAAUUUCAAAUACCACUAAUGUGAUGCUUCUUUAAGACCAUAGAUAGACCUCUGCAAUUUGCACACCACAUGCUCCUUUCUGGCUUUUUUAAAUCCUUCAGGUUGCUGUGCAUAUGCUUCUUCAUCCAGAUCUUCAUUUAGAAAUGUUGUCGUGACAUCCAUUUGGUGAAACUCUAAGUUAAAAUGAGCCACCAAUGCCAUGAUUAUCCGAAAUGAGUCUUUAGUGGACAUUGGAGAAAAGACUUCAAUAUAAUCAAUGCCUUUCUCUAUGUGUACCCCUGUGCGACUAACCUUGCCUUGAAUCUCUCUAUGUUUCCUUUAUUGUCUUUCUUGGUUUUGAAUACCCAUUUGUAGCCGAUCGGUUUAUGCCCAUUUGGCAAAUCAACAAGUGCCCAUACUUGAUUAGUUGACAUGGAAAUCCUCUCAUCCUUCAUCGCUCCUAACUAUUCAUCUACCUGAUCACUAUUAAGAGCUUCUUUGAAGGUUGUCGGAUUAACUAUAUUUUCAAUGUCAAAAUCAAUUUCUCCAAGAUAAACAUAAUAAUAAUUUAGAAGUGUUCAUCUUCUUUGUCGGAUUAACUAGAGCCGCAUCAUUCGUUUGGGGAAUUUCAUUUGUGAUAAGAGGAUUUACCAUCAUAUCUCAAAUAUAUGCUUCUUGCUGAAUUUCCACUUUGCAGGGCUCUUGCAUAGAAUCAUCAUUUAAGAUGGGCAAUGGAAUAGAGACCGUUUUAUUUGGUUCUUCCCUUUCGAAAGAUUGAUAAAAACUCUUUUUUGCAAUAUCCAAUUCUAAGAAUUUGGUAGUUUGGGCUUUAACGAUUCUAGUGCCACAAGUAGGAUAAUAGAAUUUAUACCCUUUGGAAUGGUCAAGGUAUCCAAUAAAGUAACAUCUAGUAGUCCUAAGUCCAGUCUUCUUUUGAGAAUGAUCAUAAAUUUUUACCUCUGCAAGGCACUCCCAAACUCGAAAAUGAUUCAAGCUUGGUUUCCUCCCUGUCCACAAUUCACAAGGUGUUUUCGGUAAUGGUUUACAAGUUACACAAUUCAAUAUAUAAGUUGCUGCUUUAAUUGCAUCACCCAAUAAGUAUUCAAGCAAAUUAGAACUGCCCAUCAUACUUUGUUUCAUCUUCAUGAGUGUGCAAUUGUGUUGUUCAGCUAUACCAUUAUGUUCAAAACUCAUAUGCAUUGUAUACUGAGCGACAAUACCAUAGUCCUACAAAUAUUUAGCAAACGGUCCCAUUUGUUGUCCAGUUUUGGUAUAUCACCCAUAAUAUUCACCACCUUGAUUAGAUCUGACAAUCUUGAUAAUUUUUCCUAAUUGUUUCUCAACUUCAGUGCGAAACACUUCAAACAUUUCAAGGGCAUCAGUCUUCUCCUUAAUUAGAUAAACAAAAUAAUAACGGGAGAAAUUAUCAAUGAAUGUGAUGAAGUACUUAUUUCCACAUAAGGUGGUUGAGUAUGGCCAACUAAUAUCCGUAUGAAUUAUCUCCAAUAGAUUUUGACUGCAAGUAGCGCAUUUCUUCUUGGUUUUAGUCAAUUUUCCCCUCACACAAUCAAUACAAGUCUCAAUAUCAUUUGAGUCAAGAGGAAGAAGAAUAUCAACAUCGAUGAGUGGCUUUACCCCUUCUUUGGAAAUAUGCUCUAAUCGCUUAUGCCAUAACAAUGGAGAUUUUUCUUUGAUUAAAGAUCUCUUAGCAACAUUAUUCUCGACAGUGAAAAAAUAAUAUGGUCUAUUGGGAGAUAAGGAUAAUUAAUAUAAUUCAUCAGAUAAAAUGCAAUUCCCAAUAAUUCUGAAAUCAUAAGUCAAAUCCACUCUUUUAUUUGCAAAAUAAAGAUAAUAUCCAGCUUUGUCAAGUGAAGAAAGAAAUAUUAAGUUUCUCCUAAAACCAAGAACAUAAAAGACAUUGUUCAAAAUAAGUUGAAACCCAUAAUCUAAAUUCAAAACAACUGUCCCUAUGCGCUCCACAUCAACUCCAAUAUUAUUUCCAACUUUAAGAUUUGACUCCCUUAUACUUGGAUUCCUUAGAUUUGUGAGACCUUGUAAAAUAAUAGUUACAUGAACAGCAGAACCAGAAUUAAUCCACCAAGAAUCCAAAGGAACAUCAACCAGAUUUGGUUCAAAACAAACUAACAACUCAUGUUGGUGACUUUCUUUUCUUGCUUUUAGCCAAGCUUGGAACGUAUAGCAAUUGGCUCUCUUGUGACUUUGCUUCUUGCAAUCAAAAUACUUGAAAUCCUUAUCUUUAUUUCUCCCAUGGUUCUCAUUUUUCUUGAAGUCUUGGCAUUUCUUUGGACCAUGAGCAUUGGACCCUUUAGGCUUCCAUUUUCAUCUAGAUGAACUUGAUUUGGUAUUGGCAAUUAAGUGGGCGGACUCAUACUUUUUCUUCUGUAACUUUUCUUCCUUAGUCACACAUUUGGUAAUUAAGGCAUUGAUACUCCAUGUCUCAUUCCGAGCACUAUAAGUAGUCUUAAUCAAGCUAAUUUUAGCUGGUAGAACAUUUAAGGCAUGAUGCACAAUAUAAUUUUCAGAAAAAGGACAAUUUCAUGGGCCUAAAGUUUGGACUGAAUGUAGACCAUCUUCAGUAUACAUUCUCUAACACCCAUAGUAGUAUCAUACUUCAUGUUCGUUAACUCACUCAGCAAGUUCCAACUUCAACCUUAUCUGAGACUAUAUCUUUUUCCCACUAUUUCAAGGCAUUGUCUCGUAUUUGUAUCUUCCGGCAAACUACUAAUGAGAUGCUCAGCAAUAGACCUCUUCAUAGCAAUGAGGAUUAGUUGGUUAGAUUUUUUCCAUCUAGCAUAAUGGGGCUUGGAAGGUUAGAUUUGAUCUGCGGUACUUUGAUCAUGGGGCUUGGAAGGUUCAUCCUCUCACGUAGAGUCAAGUCCAUAUUCACGAUACCCAAAGCAAACUCUAUAUCUUGCUUCCAUUUCUUGAUGUUUGAUCUAGUUAACAUUUCAAUCGUGGCAUUAUUGUUAUAUACAGUAAAUGUAACUGUUUGUCACACAUAAUGUAAUAAGAUCAAUUAUGACAAUAAACAAUUCAAUAAAAAUAAUUAGUACAUUAUAAACUCCCCCUUAGACAGAGUGUAUAAUUCGUCAUUAUUUUCCACAGCGUGAAAUUUAUAAAAUAACAACAAUGAGAAUUAUAUAUAAUUAUCAAGGAUCCAUCCCUUUGGGCAGACAAAUUCUUUAAAUUAUACAUUUUCAUUAUCACGACAUAGAGGAGAAUUACAUAUAAUUUUCAAAAAACUUAUCCCCUUUAGGUAGAUAAAUAUUUUUUACUUAUACAUCCCUAUUUAUUAAAUUGGGAAUUAAUCUUCAUGCAAUUUUUCAAAUUAAUAUACACAAUAACCCCUUUGGGCGAGUUAUUGUAUAUACUAAUUUUUAUCAAUAGAGAAUUCCAAAAUUUAUGCGCAAUAUUCAUCAAACAAUAUGAAGCACUUUACAACAUGUGCUUCCAAAGAUCAUAUUGCAUUUUAUCAAACAACAAUUUUUUUGCCACAAAUUUUAAUAUUUUUUCAAUUUUUAAUUUUAAUUUAAUUUAUUUAUUUAAGUUUCAGACCCUCCCACAAGGCCCAAACCUUCGCCCAACCCAAAGACUUGUAGGAGCCCAUGCCUUGUGCCAGUGGAAGAAUUGGGCUCACACCCAUGAAUUAAAAAAGUAAAAAUAAAAAUGGGCGCCCAAAACCUUUCUUUUCUUUGGUUCAUGGGCGUGAGCCCACAACCUUUAUAUGAUUCUUGGUUUUGGGCUCACACCCAUAACUCUUUUUUUCUUUUUCUUUUUAAAUAAAUUUGUAUAUCUGCAUGAGCCCAAUUUAUUGGCCCGGCUUAGCUAGAGGUCUUCUUCAACCUCCAACCGACACGAAACCUGCAAACUGGGUUAUAGGACUUGGUUUCAACUUGAACCUCAAAAAAUACAUAUAAUAGUUGAUUUUUGAUGAAUUUAUUUAUUUAUGGAUCUUACAUCUAAUAUCAAUAUAAUUGACUAAAAUUAAUUAAACGAAGAACAAAUGAAGGAAUUAACCCUAUUCAAGCUUCAAGAAAUUUCGGAUUUGAUAUCCAUGGUCACAAUUCGGAUUUCUCAAACAAUACCCAUGCAACGAUUUACAACAAACAUCAAUCAAUUGCAAAUAAUUUGAAAAUUCUAGAACUUUUUCAAGGUAUAAACCCUAGAAUGACAAAUUUUCACUCAAUUCUCAAUGAAACUAUACAAAAUAUAUAUGGUUGGAAUCUCGACAUGUAGAACAAAAACCCUAAGGUUUCAGGGUCAAUCAAUUAAAACAUCUACAAGAAAAAAUAAUGUUAAUAUUCGGCUCAAAGAGAAAAAUUUCGAAUUUGUUCAUAAAAAAAAAAAAAAAUUGGGUUCUACAAUCAUAUAUGACAUACUCUAAUACAAUAUGUAGAAAGUUAUUUACAUAAAUAAUUAAUUAAUCAAUAAUAAUUGGAUCCAUAUAUGACUAAAACAACAAAAUUAAUAAGCAUAAUGGAAUUAAAACGCACUUGUUUGAGCUAUCGUUUCACUUAAAGAAAAAUAGAUCAAUCUGAUAAUCAGAAAUUUAUUGAAAUGUCAGAUCUUCUUUUCUAUGACCUAUUUCAGUAUAGCAACUUUUUAUAGGAUUAAGCAAUCGAUAGGUAUAAUCUAUCACCCUUUUAUAGGCUAGAGAUGGGACCUAGCAAACCCUAAUCAAUAGCAUGUUAAUUGGGCUCCUCCCAUUACGAGCUUCGGUAAAACACAAUUGUCUACACUUUAGUACUCAACUAGGCCCGCUAUUAAUAGAUGCCAAAACCCAAUUAAAUAAAAUCACUUAAAGGUUUAACAAGUAUUGAAAUAUUCAUUAACCUGAUUAUUUAAAAUAGAAAAUCAAUUAAUUAAGGUAAGCUCAUAUUAUAUAAAAUUUCCAACAUAGAUUGCUUCUUUUUCAACAUUCUUAGAGUGCAUUUGGUUCAGCAUUCCUAAGGGGCUUUCAACCUCCAAAGCCCAUCGGGGAAAUGCUGGACUGUUUGGCAACCAUUUUGAAAUAGCUUUCAAGUGAAAGCUAAUAUUGAGAAUGCUGAAAGUUCAAUACUAGUAGAGACUAACUUUGAGCUUUUAGCAUCUGACAAAAUGCUGAAACUUAUUUUUUUCUUCUAAAACUAUUCUUACUCAUUAUUCAAAUUUUUUAUUUUUCCCUUGUUAUUAUUUUUUUAAAUGACAAAAUAAUGCUAAAAAAUCAUAUAUAUAUAUAUAUAUAUAUAUUGGUAUUUUAAAUUUUUUUAUAUAUUUGAUUUUUUUAGCAUUAUUGUCAAAAUUUAUAUUUAAAAAGAUGCAUACAUUAUUUUUUUUUCAAUUUUAAACAAUUAAAAAUUCCGACAACGGGUUUGGUCUUUUUAAAAAAAUUAUAUAUAUAUGUGUGUGUGUGUGUGUGUGUGUGUGUGUGUGUGUGUGUGUGUGUAUUUGAUUUCUUAGCAGUAUUUUCAAAUUUAUAUUUAAAAAUUCGCAUACAUUAUUUUUUUAAAUAUAUAUGUAUUUGAUUUUUUUAGUGUUAUUGUCAAAAUUUAUAUUUAAAAAGUUGCAUAUAUUAUUUUUUUCAAUUUUAAACAAUUGCAAAUUUAAAAAUUCUGAUGAAGGGCUUGGUCUUUUCAAAAAAAUUAUAUAUAUGUAUUUGAUUUUUUAGCAUUAUUUUCAAAAUUAUAUUUAAAAAGUUGCAUACAAUAUUUUUUUAAUUUAAAAAAAUAAAAAUUAAAAAAUUUCGACAAAGGAUUUGGUCUUUUUAAAAAAAAAUUAUAUAUGUAUUUGAUUUUUUUUUAGCAUUAUUGUGAAAAUUUAUAUUUAAAAAGUUGCAUAUAUCAUUUUUUUUCCAAUUUUAAGCAAAUAAAAAUUUAAAAAUUCCGAUGAAGGUUUUGGUCUUUUUUUAAAAAAAAUAAAAUAAUUAUAUAUGUAUUCGACUUUUUUAGUAUUAUUGUCAAAAUUUAUAUUGAAAAAGUUGCAAACACUACUUUUUUCAAUUUUAAACAAAUAAUAUUAGGAAAAAAAAACUAAUAUUAAUCACCCAAAGAGCUUUUUAAAUAUGUUUUCUACCAAACGACAUUUCUUUGAAUGUUGCUUCUGAAAGUAUAGUUUACCAAACGGUCUUUCCAUUUGCCUAAAGUUCUUUAAGCUAAAUUGCUUUGCAUUUUCCUAAUGGGCUUUCAAAAUGCUGAAUCCAACGCACCCUUAAUGUAGUUUCCCCUAGUGCGAUUACAUGAAAAUGUGUGAUUCUCCAUUCAGAGUAUAUUUUCCACUACAAAAUUGCCCAUCAACUUUGAGUUUCAAGAGGAGUACAAAGGAGAGAGCGGUAGCAAGUCAUAACCAAAUUAUGUAGGAGACUGUUUCGAAGAUCCGAGAUUAUGAUGAUUAUGAAGAAGUUUGGAAAUUUACCCGGCUUUGUUUUCUCUUUGAGUUCUUGCCUUGUUUCUAUAGCUGUUAGAAAGUAUAUGCAGGCUUGAAAGCAAAACAACAGGAGAGCUUGAGGCUCAUCGCUAUAAGCCUUGGGCCUUGCCUAGCCCACCGAUCUCUAGCGAGUGAUGAACAGAAGGCUUGCCAACCUCUAGCAAGCUCGAGCUCGACACUUGCCACUAGUUAGAUUGCAAAACAGCAAUGAGCGGGAGCCUCUGGCUAGCCAAUCUGGCAAGGCUAGGACCUAAUGAGCUCAAGGUUGCCCUUGCACUCAGGCCUUCACGCUCGCUGAUCUUUGCCAAGCAGCGAGCUCGAGGCAUGUCGCGUGCUGCUAGCUAGAUUGGCGAACCAAAUGCGAGCAUUAGCCCUUGGCUCACCAAUCUAGGAAGGCUAGAGCUCGGCGGCUGCUUGCCACUUGCAAAAUCGGCAAGCCAGUGGCAAGCGCAAGUCUUUGGCGUGGCUAGAGGCUAGCGAGUGAGUGGAAGUUGGCCUUUGGCCAAUUGCCAGCUGUUGCUGUGAUCGACGACCAACCAAAGAAGAAGAAGAAGAUAAAAAGAGAAAAGAAAACUAAAAUGUUGACACCUUGACCCAAUCAUUUGUUUAAUGCAUAGAAAAUUAGGGUUUAAUUUUUAACCCUUAUAAAAUAAGUUAAUUGCAUAGUAUAUAAUUUUAGUUGCAUUUAUUUUUAAUUUCUAUUUGCAUUGGACGGGUGAUAGAUGGGUUCGAAUUGGAGGUUCUGAGCUUUAAAUUGACAGGUUGAACUAAGCCCACGAAUGGAGUAAAUUGGCCCAAGCCCGUUUUCUUAUAUGAUAGGGAUUUUUCAAUAUCAUCGGAUAUGGCAAGUGUGAAAAAAUAAUGCGAGGUCAUCUUUGUAAGAUUUAGGAUUUGAGAAAAAUUCUAUCACAAUCUUGAAUCUUUAUCGAUAUGUGAUAAAAUUGGUGAAGAAACCCUAAUCCACUCACCUAUAAAUAGAUGCUACAUUUAAAAGGAAAAAGAGGAGGCCACAGAAUUCCAUACACGGCCACAGAAUUAAGAGAAAGGUGGGUCGGCAAUUUUGUUCUCAGAGGACUAGAGAAAAUACACCUGAGAACACAAGAGUGUGCGCUCGUGGCUGCCCCUUGUUAUUCCGUCGACCUUCUCCAACGAAGUUGCUGUCGAGUCUAAGAAGCAUCCUUGAUUGUGCGACGAGAUAUCCCCUAUUGCCUCCCAGUCAUUGUCGCCGCAUCUAGGUUUUGUACCACUCUUGAAAGAUCCAACCCAACUUAGAGCAAUUCAGAAGUCAAUGUAUAAAGGAGAGCUUGAUCGUUGAAGUCAGAAUUUUAAGGAUCCACUUUCUCAACGCACAAAUAUAGAGAAAGGAGGAGACUUUGAGGCGGUGGCCUUUGCCUUGUGGAGUUCAAACCGAAAGAGGCAAAAGAAGGUGUCGCUACUUUGCUGUUCGCAGGUCCAACUCCACGUUGCAGCCAUCGCCGUGCCAGUCUUUGUGUCCUGCGGCAUUCCCGACGUUCCAGGAGCACCCUCGAAGCUUUCCGUUGGUCUGGUUCAUGGGUGAUCGUCUCAUACUGGCCGCCUCUCCGCAACUUGCAGAAUUUCUAUUCCUUUUUUUCCGUAGGUUAUCUGAAGUUCUCGCUGAAUGCAUCGUGGGCAUCAUCGAGCGCCGCAAGCACCACGGCCGAGUCACUGUUCAGCCGUGAGUCUUGACGAGGUCUCGCUGCCCAUCCGUGAACCAUCACCGCUCGCCACCGUGAACCAUUGCCACCAUCCUCCAAUGAUGCCCACCAAUAGACGAUCUCUAGUGCCUAGCGAGUUUUACCACAAGCCAAGCGUCAUCGUUCCUUGAAUUCACAGUAUUCGUGUUUGCAGGUGUCUCCGUGAGCAUCGGUCAUCUCCCACGGCCGCCCCGACGUCCAUCUAGGGGCAAUUAAUCGAGUCAUCCAUUAGCAAGUCUUGAACCCGCCGCAAUCGCUUUGAUGAUUCUCUGAACAACUCAACUGACACUAGAUUCUUCAAUGGGCACAAGAGGGCCUUCCCAAUACAAAAGAAGCGGUGAAAUUUGUCCUGUAUUGCCCAAGCUUUUUUAGAAGGCAAAGCUUGAUAGAAAAGUAAAAAGAAGACAGAGAAAGGAUUACACCUGUUCCUAAUCGUCUUCAUGGGGAACCAAGUCUUUUUUUUUUCUGUGCAUAAUGUAUCUUAGACAUAAUAAAGUGGCUGGGUUUCGUGCAUUUAUCUCGUGAUUUGGGGUUGCAAUGCUCUCACGUUUUAAUCUUUUCGCUGGAUGGCAACACAGUUUUCAGCCACGUGAAGUCUCUGCCGUAAGACUGGGAGUUAGCCAUGCACCUCCUCACCGCCUCGUGAGCCAUCACCUGUCUCAAAUCAUCGAGCCAUCACCGUGAGUCCACCAUCUCGGCUGCUGUCCGAGCUGAACCACUGCAGCGACCCGUCCUCGAGCCAUGCCGAGCCUCCAUGGCGAUUCACAAGCCGUCGUUUGCUAAGCUCGAUUAGGAUGCCGAAAUUCGAAUUAGGUAGAUUUCUAUUUUAUUUUUAAAUAUCUUGUUUCUUUAGUUGAAAUAUUUCCUAAUGUAUGAUUGAAAUCCCUGUCGUUAUAUUCGCAACUCGCCGUCACAACGUGCAUACAAUUGACAAUUCGAUUUUCAUGCCCGAAAUCUGACUCGCAAUCGCGUGGAAAAAUCACCAAUCCGAUCUUACGCUUGAGAUUUGAUUCAUGAUUUGUUUAAAAUUGACCAAUCCGAUCCCAUACGCGGGAUAUAGUUUGUCAAUUUAUGGAUAUCGAUCCUAUCUUGCUUGAUUUGUUGUCGUGUCGUUUGAUCAAUUUUGCUUUCGUAAAAGAAAAUCCAAAAAAAAAUCUAAGAUAGAUUAGGUUCUUUGCUUGUUUUAGGGCUAUCUUGCAUAUUUAGAAUAGGAAAUUUAUUUCAAAUUUUGAAAAAUGAAAAAGAAAAAAAUCAACUUGGGAUUCUAGGUUUUUUAGAUUGCACGUUUAAUUAUGUGACAAUUUUAAUUUCGAAUUUCAUAGAAAAGAAAAAGAAAAAAACUAGAGUUAGGGCAUUCUUUGCACGCCAUUGCAUAUUAUGAUAAGGUUGUAUGUUUAAAUUUUAUAAGUUUAGAUAAGUGUUUUUAGAUAGAUUGCAUUUUAGGAUAGGAAUUAUCGAGUUGAGAUAACAUCCUAAUUUAAAUUAACAUUUGGCCUAACCUAAUUCUUAAUGUAAGUUGGAUGAUAUAUUAAUAUGGAUAGAUAAUUUUCGCGAUUUUUCUAAUUUCGAAUUUCAUGGAAAAUACCAAAAAAAAAAAAUUGUCUUUGAGUAAAUUAAUUUCAUUCUCUAGGAUAGGUUGCAUGCUCAUUAAGAAAACACAAAUAUAGCUUAGGUCAUAUUGCCAUGUCAUAUCAUUUCAUGUUAGAUUAGUAGCAUGCAUUGCAUAAAGCAUGAUUCUCAUUAAAUAAGUUAAAAAAAACAAAAAAAGAAAAAGAAAUUGUGUGUUAAUUAGAAAUCAUAUCUAGGACUGUCGAUAUGAAUUCUGAUCUAACACUACAGAUGCUUUUGAUGCUAUGAGAUAAGUCCUGCAAUUGAUUUAUUACUUUUUUUGGAUGUUAAAUUGGUGGUUUGCGCACAUGCAUGAUAACCUCACAUGUUAGGGAAAUAAAUAAAAUCAAUUCAAGCUGCUUGCCAAAUAUUUCUUCAAAAUAAAAGAGAAAUGUACCGAAAUUGCAUUAGAGAAAUCUAGCGUAAUCAAGUCUCCAAACUCAUAAUCUCUGGUUCGUAGGAGUAAAAUAAAUCUCUCGUUACUUUACUUGGGUUUCUAAUCGAUCCACCAAAAAUAGAUUAGUGGCGACUCCUAGUUAAAAAUCAAUUGUAUGUUAAGAGCUUGAACACCUAAGUUGCGAAUUGGUAUGGGCUUGAGAGAGCGCGAGCUAAGUCUAGGCCUAGCAAUCUAUUAGCUAAACCCUAGGUGGUGCACCCGAAAUUUAGGUCGCAACAUAAAAAAAGAAAAUAAAAAUAAAACUUGAUUUUAAAAAUAAUUUAAAGUUGAUUUUAGAAAAUAAAAAAAAAGUGCAUAAAGAAAAAAAAAUCCUUACCCAAUGGCAAAAAGCACUCUCUACUUCAUUUUAAUGUAUUAGACGAACAUAAAAAAAAUAAUGAUAAUUUCCCGAAAAAUAUUUUUUAGGAAUGUUGUAUUUUUGGCAAAACAAAUGGAGCGUUGAUAGAAAAGGGAGAGACUUGGCUUUGUUUUUCCUUUUGGCCAAUCAUUCAAUAUGAAGUUAUCCCACUUCUCCACCCCAAUGUCCAAAUUUAAGGUAGCAAGCAUUAAAUCAGGGCCAGUCCGGUUGAAAAAAAGAUUAUUAGAAAAUUAAAUAAUUAUUAGUAAAGCAAAAAAACUCAUUAUACAAAUAUCACUUCAAUUUUGAAUUUAAAAUUUCUUCAUUAGGCUUAUUAUUUUUUUUUAGUAGAUUUCUAGUGUAGUACUUCCACCCCAUUAUCGCUAGCAAUCGCCGAUGUUGCGAUUUAUAAGACCAAUAAGGCCAAGAAGCCUCAUCGAUGUCUAAAAUUAUUGAAUGAAAUUUGAAUGUCACUGAUUUCGUUGCAUGUACGUUUUAUUCUCUGUUGAACUUUUGCGUACGUGAGUGGGUUCUUGGUUAGAGUAGCAAUGCACGUCGUAUGGGAACAAGCCCCACGCGAUCAAAUGCGUGAACAAAUGUACUGCUGCUCAGUGCUCAGGAGAGUCCCACCCGCCAUCACAUGCUGAUGAAAAUACUGACAUACGGCCUUUAUUUAUGAGGAGAGCUCACGUCUGUGAAAAGGAGCGAUCGCAUUAACAAAGCCGCGUCUUAAGAGCUCGUGUAAUAUUCUCUCUAAAGCGUCCGUGUCCUCGAGACGAACGUGAGCUCUCCUGUCAUGAAGUCGACCCUUCACACUCGCACGUAAUCAAACUAGCCUCCUGCUGGUCCCCCACGGUUCAACUUCUUUCCAAAAAGAGUGAUUAUUCGUACGUAGAAACCGGUUCAAACCGACCCAAAAAAACCUGGUCAAAACCGAUAUUCUUCCUUUCUCUUCUUGGAAGGGGCCAAUCACGUGCUAUUAGCAGUCCUCAGACAAAUGAUACCAAACCAUUGUUUUACUUUGCGUUCAUUUACAUUUUCAGGGUACUUCAUGUAUGUUAAAAUGAGAGCCGUAGGCACGUAGACAUAUGUGGUGCAACAUGUCGUUCUAUAUUCAAGCUAGCAAAUGCGCAUUCUCAACCUGAACGAACAGCUUCAAAUAGAAAAAAAUUUCUAUGCGAGCUCGAAUUUAAUAUGGAGGGAUUCAAAAAAUCGGUUCAUUACUUAGUUCAGUACAACUUUAAAGAAUUGGAUGCUCUAAGGUGAGGAUCAAAUUAAAAGCUCAACACCGGCUAUCUUUUUAGCAUAUAACAUCAAAUAAGAAAAUCACGCGCCAUGACGAUGUAAUUCUUUCUAGUAACAAUCCAUAAAAGCGAGAAACUAUCGAAAGAAUUGUAUAACGAGCAUUUUAUUUAUAUUAAACCUUCGGAAGGAACUCAUCCAUGAAAAAUAUACUUUCUUUAUAAAUAUAAUGAAGUGUUGACACGUAAAUUCAAAUUAAAUUUUUAAAAAAUUUUGAAUAAUAUUCCAAACUUUGACAUGCAUUUUCACUUUUGUUUAAGCAAAGUGGCGCCAUCACGUGCGCAUGCUUGAAGCGCUCCCAGCCCCUACGAUCGAUCCCCAACACCGAUUACGAGGUAUGUGGUUUUUCUACUAGAUGCUCGAUUUUGCAAUUGCGUUAAGCAAAAUCUCUCCCAAUUCUCCAUUGUCAGUAACGAAGCGGUCUUAAUUCCUUAUUAGUGAGAUAAGUGUGAGAUAGCUUUUGAGUUGGCUAACUUGGUUCGAGCCCUUGUUUUCAUCUUUCAAUAUCAUCCCCGACAUAAGGAAAGAGGGAUGUGAUUGACAUUUCUAUACGUUCGGAACAGGCUGGGCCUAUCUAAAAGCUGAACAGACCCCUCAUUUUUCUCGGCAAUAAUAUCCUAAAUUACUAAUGAUUCAUUUGAAUUAUUAUAGCGUGCAUUGUGCCGGAUGUUCGAGCUUUAGAGUUAUAAUGUGACAUGAGAAUGAAAACCCGCCUCACGAUUCAUCAGUGCUCGAAUGUCUAAUGAAGAAAGCGAGUAAUCGCAAAUCUUUUUCAAGGGGGAUCGGUCAUUAUAUUUAUAGUAAAUAUCGUCACAUCGAGACGGGAGAAUUACUUUAUCAUGAGUUUUAGCUGGAUGCAAUCCAUAAUAUUAAUUGGGGUCUCCUCUUUUCUUUCAUCCUUUCGGCUCACAUGAGAAAAUCUGCAAUUAAAAAAGAAAAGAAAAACUUGGAAAGGAAAAUGUUUUCGCUACGCUAUCAUUGGGCACGGACUACACACUGCAUGCGGCCAAACGUGACGCAACGGAGCAACGAGACAAGCGAGUCACAGAAUGCUGCCAAGUCGGUUGGAUCGGGGACCGAGUUGCUCACUGAGCCAACCCAACGCGUCCGGCGUCCUCCUCUCCUCCCACUUACGCAUUCUUCUGUCUCCUACUCUUUUCGCUCUCCCAACUGUCUAAAAUCAUGCUUUCGGCAACAUUUUGAAGGCAAAAGGGGGGCCGGGGUUACAGCACGAGGGUCAUUUUGCACUCUCCAUGCGGGGCAUUUGAAUGAGCUUUGAAACCACCCGAUUCUUGGUGAGGUUACACCUUAACCAAUACCAAUGCCAAGGAUCCAAGGGCUGUCUCCUCGAAAGAGUUGGGAUCCAUCGCUCUCUCAAAGUGUCCUCAUGCUCGGUCUCAGCGGGAUGGUUUUGGUUCAUCUAGGACCAAAACCCCCCUCCCCUUCCUUUUUCCUCUUCCCCUCUCCCAUGUUUUCGCGAAUCCCUCUCUCUCACAUCGCCCACAGCCGUUGUUUACCGCUUGUAGAUCCAUCGUCCAUCCGCUUGCGGACAUAGUUUUCUCGACAUCCACGCGAUUCCUAGACGUAACGAAUUAUCGUUUUGUCAUUGAGUGUCUUCAAAUCACUUCUUAAGCAACUAAUAAUUAUCAACGAAUUCAUUUCUUCUCGAUACCCCAUCAUUAUUUAUUAAUGCUAAGGAGAGCGGUAUAAUCUCGCUAAAUUAUGCAUAUCGAUUCGCCGGAAUAGUGCACUUGGCUUGCUCUGGUCCAAAACAUGAUCAAUUGUUUAAGCUCUUGGAGCCGCCACAAUCCAGUAGGUUGUGAGCAGGAGACUGUUCCUAGACCGAACUCUGAUAGAAAGACGCAUCACUUUCGAUGAUUGAUUGCCAGUAUUGCAGAGCAGGCUUCCCACGACAUUUCCCCAACUUAAAGACGCCAUUCAUUCUUAGAAUGCACACGUUUCGAAGGCCCGUGACUCCCUAUCUUUUGAGCUUCGGUUUCCGAGGGAUGACUAUGUUGCCCGGUUUCGGCCCGUAGUGCUUUGUCCAUUCUUCUGAUUAUUUUUUCACAGCAAAAGGAAUUCGAGUACCGUUCUCUCACUUGCGAAGAAAGGAAUGGGACAAUGCUUGGUGGGCAACCACCCUAAGGAGAAUCCGUCCGACCCUUCCUCUAUGAAGAAAGUAACGAGCGAGAAUAAGUCCAAAGAAAUCUUCAAACACCCCUCUCCUCUCCUCUCACCUCAUAAAGAAAAAAGGACACAAAAAGGACCCAUGCCCAUUGCUCCCAGCUCACGACGUCUACCCUUUUCCAUGUUGUGAUGCAAAAUGAGUCUUGUUUGUUAUCUCUUUUAUGUCUUCAACCCUUUCUUGUUACCUAGAAGGGAUUCACCAACUGCCCAUGCCAUAGGGAGACGAUGAAAAGAGACCAAAAGAAGAACUGGGUGGGUGGGACACCAUCCUUCAUUACACCAUAAUUAUUGAAUGAAAUUUGAAUGUCACUGAUUUCGUUGCAUGUACGUUUUAUUCUCUGUUGAACUUUUGCGUACGUGAGUGGGUUCUUGGUUAGAGUAACGAUGCACAUGGUAUGGGAACAAGCCCCACGCGAUCAAAUGUGUGAGCAAAUGUACUGCUGCUCAGGAGAGCCCCACCCGCCAUCACAUGCCGAUGAAAAUGACAUACGGCCUUUAUAUAGGAGGAGAACUCACGUCUGUGAAAAGUGAGCGAUCGCAUUAACAAGCGGCGUCUUAAGAGCUCGUGUAAUAUUCUCUCUAAAGCGUCCGUGUCCUCGAGAAGGACGUGAGCUCUCCUGCCCAGCACACUCUCUGCUUCUGCUCUUCUCCAUCCCAGCACACUUCUGUCCUUAAUAUGGAUACAGGUGCCCGCCUACUUCAACGAUUUAAUCUUCUUGUUGCUGCCCAGCGUGCACGUCAAGAAAAUGAAUUCAACUUGGGUCUCACGUAAGUAGUGCGAUUGUUUUUUAUCGCCAAUUUUUUUUGUCUCUUAUGUAUAUUUUAUUGUCUUCAGACUUCAAGAACGGCGAGACUAUGUGCGACGAUACAACCUGGCAGAACGACGUCUGAACGCCCUCCUUGAUAACAUAAGGGGAGAGGAACUUUUGGUCCUCUCUUCGCAAGCCCAAGCCACAGCAUUCUUAUCAUUGUGGGGGAGACUUGAGCGAAAUCGCGGUGAGUUGCGACGCGUCCAAAUUCGUAUCGGCAACGCGGCAGCCCGGGAGCAGAUGCGCCUCCAACUAGAAAAUCAUGCUUUCGCGCUUGAGGACACCGACAUGUAUUUCCGCCUACCGCCCCCGCCCCCACCCUCACCAGAGCCACCAGCCCAAUAAGGCCAAGAAGCCUCAUCGAUGUCUAAAAUUAUUGAAAGAAAUUUGAAUGUCACUGAUUUCGUUGCAUGCACGUGUUAUUCUCUGUUGAACUUUUGCGUACGUGAGUGGGUUCUUGGUUAGAGUAGCGAUGCACAUCGUACGGGAACAAGCCCCACGCGAUCAAAUGCGUGAACAAAUGUACUGCUGCUCAGGAGAGUUCCACCCGCCAUCACAUGCCGAUGGAAAUACUGACAUACGGCCUUUAUUUAGGAGGAGAACUCACGUCUGUGAAAAGUGAGCAAUCGCAUUAACAAGCGGCGUCUUAGAAGCUCGUGUAAUAUUCUCUCUAAAGCGUCCGUGUCCUCGAGACGGACGUGAGCUCUCCUGUCAUGAAGUCGACCCUUCGCACUCGCACGUAAUCAAACUAGCCUCCUGCUGGUCCCCCACGGUUCAACUUCUUUCCAAAAAGAGUGAUUAUUCGUACGUAGAAACCGGUUCAAACCGACCCAAAAAAACCUGGUCAAAACCGAUAUUCUUCCUUUCUCUUCUUGAAAGGAGACAAUCACGUGCUAUUAGCAGUCCUCAGACGAAUGAUACCAAACCAUUGUUUUACUUUGCGUUCAUUUAUAUUUUCAGGGUACUUCAUGUAUGUUAAAAUGAGAGCCGUACGCACGGAGACAUAUGUGGUGCAACAUGUCGUUCUAUAUUCAAGCUAGCAAAUGCACAUUCUCAACCUGAACGAGCAGCUUCAACUAAAAUUUUUUUUCUAUGCGAGCCCAAAUUUAAUAUGGAGGGAUUCGAAAAAUCAGUUCAUUACCCGGUUCGGUGCAACUUUAAAGAAUUGGAUGCUCUAAGGUUAGGAUCUAAUUAAAAGCUCAACACCGGCUAUCUUUUUAACAUAUAACAUCAAAUAAGAAAAUCACGCGCCAUGACAACAUAAUUCUCUCUAAUAACAAUCCAUAAAAGCUAGAAACUAUCGAAAGAAUUGUAUGAUGAGCAUUGUAUUUAUAUUAAGCCUUCGGAAGGAACUCAUCCAUGACAAACAUACUUUCUUUGUAAAUAUAAUGAAGUGUUGACAAGUAAAUUCAAAUAUACUUUUUAAAAAAUAUUGAAUGAUUUUCCAAAGUUUAACAUGCAUUUUCAUUUUUUUUUAAGCAAAGUGGCGCCACCACGUGCGCAUGCUUGAAGCGCCCCCAGCCCCUACGAUCGAUCCCCAACACCGAUUACGAGGUAUGUGGUUUGUUUACUAAAUGCUCAAUUUUGCAAUUGCGUUAAGCAGAAUCUCUCCUAAUUCUCCAUAGCCAAUAACAAAGCGGUCUUAAUUACUUAUUAGUGAGAUACGUGUGAGAUGGCUUUUGAGUUGGUUAACUUGGUCCGAGCCCUUGUUUUCAUCUUUCAAUAUCAUCCCCGACAUAAGGAAAGAGGGAUGUGAUUGCUAAUUCUGUACGUUCGGAACAUGCGGCCUAUCAAAAAGCUGAACACAACCCUCAUUUUUCUUGGCGGUAAUAUCCUAAAUUACUAAUGACUCAUUUGAAUUAUUAUAGCGUGCAUUGUGUCGGAUGUUCGAGUUUUAGAGUUAUACUUUGACGUGAGAAUGAAAACCCGCCUCACGAUUCAUCAGUGCUCGAAUGUCUAAUGAAGAAAGCGAGUAAUCGCAAAUCGGAUCGGUCAUUAUAUUUAUAGUAAAUUUCGUCUGUCACGCCCCGAUCUUCGGGCACGCGCCCAUCCCUUAACUAGUCGAUUUAUUUGUGAUGUCCCAGGAAGGUCGCCGACCCAUUCUUUUAUAUACGCAUGCGGAAGCUUAAUGAAAUCCCAAGACAAUCAAAUAAUGGGAUAGAAAAGUAGGAUCAUAUUUUUUAAAUGAAACCAAGACGAGUCUUUAUAGACAAACUGGUUAAUUGCUGUUGACACCUAAUAUUUCAGAAAAUAAUAAAAAAAAUAAAAAUUCGAUUUUGGAAAUAUAUCUUCAUUUCAAAAUUCAAAAAUUCAGUUUUUAUUUGAUUUUGGAGCAUUUUUAUUGUUGGAGUCGUUAAGUGAAUAUCUCGCUUGCAAAAACAACUUUGAGCGCUUUCACUAUAAAAUGCGAGGCUUCAAAAUCGAGUUCGGGGGGGCGACUUCUCUUCGUCGUGGAAAAUGAAAGCAAAAGAAAAAGUUAGUAGGGGUUCUCUCUUCGUCUCGGUCGAAGGAAGAAAAAGAGUACAAAUGUGGAAAAAGUGAAAAAGUGAAAAAGUGAGAGAGAGAAGGAGUUGACGUGAGCAAGGAAAAGAGGAAAAGUACAGUGGGAGAGAGAGAGGGGAUGUUCGACAGAGAGUGAGCAGAGAAAGAAACGAAAAGAAAAGAAAGAAAAAAGGAAAGAUGAACAACUGUUCAUCUUCUUCGUGAGUCCCCAUCCGAAGUCCCUGUUGCUCGCUCCUGCGCCCUGCACCGUCGCUGUUCCACCGGUCAUCUUUCCGCCGCUGCGCGUCCCCGUAAGCGCUGCCGCCCUCAGCGUCCAGCGACCGCACCUCCGCCGGAGCGCAACGCCAUCACCUCCACAUCCGCCCGACGAAGCCGCUGCCGUGUCGAUCCGAGCCUCACCAGAGCGACCACCUGAGCUGCAGCAGAUCCUCUCCGAACCACCCUCAGUCGGCCUCCGAGCACCACCGCGCCUCCGCCGCCGAGCCUCGCCGUGCCUCGCCUGUAGCCCGCAAAGCCGUGUCCGGUCGCCAGCCACUGCCGCGACGCCGUUGCCGCCCCUGAUCAGACCACGACUUGCGCCGCCCGAGCGACGACCCACAGGAGCCCGCGUUGCGACUCGAUUCCCCUACUUGCCGGACGCCGAGCCGUCGUUCCGUUCACGAUUGCCUGCUGCCAACUGCUGCACCGCCUCUGCUCCGCUUGACGCCGCGAGCAGCGACCUGCUCGUUUCCACUUGCAGCGCCACACGACGACCCGACACCGCGUCCUCCUCGCUGACCCCUCCCGGGCGACACCUGACGCCACCGCCUCGAGCUCUUGCCGCCGCUCCUGAUCCGAGCCUGCUGCCGUGCUCUUGACCCACCCUGUUGCCUCCCCUGUUGCAGGGCCUUAGGUAGUUUAUUUAUUUUUUAUUUUUUUAUUCAUUUCAUGUUAUGUUAGCUUGUUUUUUUUAAGUUUCAUUAUUUGAAUUGUAGUAUUGUAUGUUAAUAUUUGUAGACCUUGUAGACAUUAGGAGUUUUAUCCCAAAUUAAGGUAAUUAUUAAUUUGACCCGUAAGACGUCGGGUCAUUUUUUUAAUUACUUUAGUAUUUAGAAAUUUUGAUAUCAUUUCAAUUGUUAAAUUGUUAUAGAGUUAAAAUAAUUACUAAUUUAAUCCGUGAGACAAUGGAUUAUUUUUUCAGUUGUUUUAAUUCUUAUCUUUUUUUUUUUAAAUAGUUACUUGUUUGGAAAGAUUAAAAAAAAUAUAAAAAAAAUCAAAAAGUACAUAAAAUCUAAAUAUUGCACUAGAGCACUUAGGUUUAGUAAAUUAGACAGUAUUUUUAGGGUUAGUAAAUUAGAAUUGCAUUUAUAGGAUUAUAAUAUUUAGAUUAUAUUCUUAGAUGGGUGAUUUUUUGUUAGGGCUAAUUUUAAAUAAUGUUAGCAUGUCUUGAUUUUUUUAUAUAGCUUUUAAGAUAAGAUAUAGUUUAAGUUAAAUUGAUUCCUAAAAUAAAUUAGAAUAUUAUUCACUUUAGAUAGUUUAAUUAUUCUUUAUUAAUUUCGAAUUUCAAUAAAGAAAAUCAGAAAAAUAUUAGGUACAUGUUAGUUAAUUUGCAUAAUAGGUUUAAUUAGAAUUUGUUUAUUAGUAAAAUAUUGUCAUAUCUAGAACUUAGGUACUUAGGUCCAUACACAUUUCAUAUUAAAGCAACACACCUAGAUAUUUUUAGAUUAAGUCGAUUUUCAUUUAGUAAAACAAAAGAGGAACAAAAAAUGUUAUGCAUGCCAUAUGAGUUAUAGUUUAAUUUUUUUUAAUAAAAAGGAAAAUGCUAAAAGAUGAUCAUUGCACCAUUAAGUUACUUUCUUUUCAAUAAAAAACAUUAUGUUAUUAAAAAAAAAGAAAGAUCAUUUCCUUGGUUAGUUAAUAGGUUAAUUCAUAAUUAAUCUCAUAUCAUCAUCAUUUAGCAUAGGUUGCAUAUAUGCAUUAAGAAAAUGAAUCAUCAUAAAAAAAAAAAAAUCAUAAAAAAGCAUACCUGUAUAAAUACUAUGUCAUUCAUCCUAUAUCACGUAGCACAUGCAUAUUCAGAAUUAUAUAAAUUAAAUUGCAUACAUAUAGUGAUAAGUUUAAGUCAUACCAUAUGAAUUGCAUCUCACAUAUCAUUAAAGUAAAAUCCAUGCAUAUUAAAUUUAGAUUAAGAUUGCAUAUAAUUAACAUUUUUUUUUAAAAAAGAAAAAGAAAAAUUAGGUGUCAUGUCAUUUAGAAAUCAUGUUUAGGGCAUGCAUUUUUAUUAUCAUUUUUUAUUGAAUGUCAUUUUAUUGAUUGUGCAUCCGCAUGACCACUAUUUGCAUGUUAGUAGCUUAGGUUUAAAUUAAUCAACAUUGCCUGCAAAAUAUUUUUAAAAUUAAAAUAAAAGGUACGGAAAGGGCGUUAGACUAAUCUAGCGUAACCAUGUCCCCGGACCUAUUGAAUCUCUGGUUCGCAAUAGUAAAGUAUUCUCCCAUACUUUACUUGGGUUUCUAACCAGCCCUAAUUGGUUAGUGGCGGCUCCAAAUUGAAAUUGCAUGUUUAAAUGAAUUAAUUUCUAUCAAGUCGCGAUUGGUAGGACUUGGGAGGGUCAAUGUCAAGUCUUCGGACUUAAUAAUCCAUUAGCCUUCUUUAGGUAAUUUACCUUCAAAAAAUUCGGGAAGGUCGCGACAAUUACAAACUUAGGCUGUUUACAAAAUUGACGGUUAUCAUAAAGAGGACUGUCUUAACAUCCACUAGUCAGACUCAUUUGCCGAUUCUUUAGCCUACACCUUCCGAACUCCAGGAUUUCCAGUCCUUCACGAUCGUCAUCUAGGGACUUGAAAUAUUUUCCCCAAAUCGGAAUGAGACUAUGUCUCAGCAAGUUCUACCCCAUUAAGACUUGAUUAGGAAGCCAAUACGCCAUAAGGGCUGCCUAAGCACAACACAGGUUAAAGGGCUUACAUUGGCAUUAGUUCCUUCCUGCACAUCAGUUCAAUCAAUAAUAUUGAUAACUACAGCAAUUAAUCACAUUUCACCAAUCAGAUCGACUCAGCGAUCAAUCGACUUAAUCGAUUACAUGUCAUCAUGACCUUUUCCUGGUCGGUACAUUUAAUACUAUUUAUAAAGUCCGACCAUAAUCUAGGACUGCUCACCCAAAGCUGAAAAUAGAUAGCAUAGCUCGCCCAAAGCUGAUAAAUAUAAUAUACUAUGUAUAUGCUCGCUCAAAGUUGAUAGAUUAGGGCCCCCAGGCCAAUUUAGAAUAUUAUAUAUACGUGCUCACCCAAAGUUGAUAAUAAGGUAUAUUGCUCAACCAAAGUUGACACAUCGCCCGUAGGUUGAUAUAGUAUACCGGUAAAUUGCUCACCCAAAGCUGACAUAUUGCCCGUGAGCCGAUCUAGUAUACCACUCUCUCAUACAAUCAAUUCCAUCUUUUAUCAUUCUCGAUAAAUAGUCGUGUGUAAGUAUAUGGUUGGUCUUAGACAAAAUAUAAUAAUUUCAUUUACACAUAUCCCACCAAUUUCAACAGCCCAUUACAUAUUUUUGGCGCUGUAAACCGACGCCCGGUUAUUUUUCCAUUAAUAACCAAAAUCAGAUAAUUUAGGAAUAAAUCCUAAAUUCACAAUUAAUUCAAUUCAGCACAAAUUAACGCUCAAAUAAAUAAACGGACUGCACCAUGACAAUCAGUACGGAAUUUCGAUUGUCCGCCAUCUCAAUCUUAAUUUCCUAAAAUUAAUUAAUUAAUUAAUUUUGAAAAUUAAUAAUUAAUUACAAUAAAUUCAAUUUAGCUCAAAUUAGAGCUCACUUAAAUAAACGGACUUCACCAAGAUCAUCAGCAUAAAAUUCCGGUCACCGGCUAUCCCGAUCAAAAUUUCCGGAAAAUAAUAAAUAAUAAAAUUUAUUCCGAAAAUUAAAUAAAAUAAUAUUAUAUUAUAAUAAUACAAUAUAAAAAUAAUAUUAUAAAUUCGAAUUAAUUAAUUAAUUUAAAAUAAUUAAUUAAGGCUUAAACAAGAUUACUUUAAUCUAAACAUUUACUUAGCCUUAAUUAAUUAUCCACUAAACUAAUCACAUCCCUUAAUCCACUUAACAUUUAAAUAAAUUAAUCUAAUCACCUAAACCUACUUAGUUUAAUCUAAACACCCCUUAAACAUUAUUAACCUACUAAGCGGGAAUUAGUGAGUUAAACACACCCGAUUAACGAUCCGAGCGCCUCAAAUCGACGGGGAUGCUGAGGGGAUCGAUUCACUCCAAGACGGGCCUAGCUUCCGGGGUUGGGAAGUUGGCCAAAACGGGCCAAAUAGCCACUGCCAUACCCAUUUUUCUAGAUGCUGAUUAGGGCUGAUGGAGGGGGAGACGGUGGCUGGUUCGAGUCGGAAUGGGCAGAGGAGGACGACGGCAGCUUGGGUGGAGCAAACGGUGGCUUCGACGGGUCUCCGGUGGUGGCUAGCGACAAGGAGCAGUAGCUAGACGGAGGUGCGGGAGGCUCGGGGUCACACGAGCAGGGCGGAGCUGCAUGCGGGCUAGUCAGUCGUGCGAGCGAAGGGGGAUCGGCACGGUCGGAUGGGUGGCGCCGGCGCCGACGACGGGCGGCGGCGUUGAGUGACCGAGCGAGCGGCGAAGGGGCGUGCGGCGUGCGGGCUGGCCUGUUCUGAUCGCACUCCCUCCUCCUCUCUUUCCUCUCUCUCUCUCUUCCCAAGCUUGAAGAUGAUGUUGAUUGGUGCCCUUUUUGAGAUUAAAUCUCCACCCUCCACUUGUCAAGCUCUCAUCACUUGGCUCCAAAUAAGGUGACAUCACAUUCCACUAACUUCAAACCUCCCACAACAAUCUUCAAUGGGUCUAAUUCCAUCCUCCGCUGUGGCAUGAAAUCUUGUACACUUAAUUCAAUCAAUUCUCAAUCAAUUCCAUCCAAUUGAAGCUCAAUUAAAUUAACCCAUGUGUCCUCAACCUUCUUAUGACUUUUCCCCAUCAAAUGAUCCCACUUGCUUCCCAAAGAUUCGAUUAAAAACGGCCCUCUGACAAUCUCGAACAAAAACGACCUUACUUUGCUUUUCCGCCAAAAAUUUCGGUUUGUAGAAAAAUCUUUAGAGGGUCUGUUGCCGUUAUUAACAUCUUCGGUGUUUUGGAAGUUCAAGUUUGUUCGUCAGAUUUGAAGUCUGUUUUUAUUUUCUUUCUUUUCUGGAAUAUAUCUUCCAUUAAGCAUUUUUUUUUUCCAAAAGCACCACUAGUUUUCUUGUCAUUCUUUACGUAGGAACUGCUUGCUGCUGGAGGUUCUAACAUCCCACAAAGCAUUCAUGAGGUUUUGGCACAUCUAGCCCGUCGCUUGCCACUAUGGAUGACACAUGUGUAUACUUUUCGCCCGAUCUAUACUUGCAAUGCCUUAUUGACUGAUGGCAGUGUUUGCUGUCAACAAAUAAUGCGAAUCUUGAUGCCCGCCUCAUGAAGGUUCGAUCUCUAUCUACCUCAAAAAGAAUGCUACAAUUGAUUGAUUGGCUUGUGGACAUGGGUUCUAGGAGUGUGUUGGCUUGUCGCCGUUUUAGGUUAUUAGAGUGAAAUGGUCACUUCAUGCGAGAGAGGAAAUAGUAUUUGAGUGUGCAUGGACCUUGCUGGAAAGCGCACAAAAGAGGACAAGGGAAAUGAUUGAGGAACAAGAAGCAGUCCAGGGCGGGCUUUUUUCUAUCCAAGAUGUCAUGCGGAUUACAGUUCGUGAGUGGUUAUAGAUUUUCCUAUAGUUACAACAUCUUUUAACCUUUUCUCUUCUGAAUUUUAUGAGCUAUGACAUGUAGGUAUCGAGCAUAUAAUGAGCCAUAUCAUUGAUAAGAUCUCUGUUUUUGGUUAUUUAUAAGUUAUCAUUAGUUUUGUAGAUUGGUGGGUACAAUUAGUAGUUGUGAUACUUGGUGGUAGUGGCAUUUGAAAUUGCAACAACUAACUUAGAUGUUUUCUAACUGUAACUCCUUCUAGAAUUAUUCAUGUCGACUAGCAUUGUCAUACCACUGGUGAAUCUUUAUUUAUAAAACAAUGAUGCAGUUAGUCUUAUAAUAUGCUCGGUACUCAUCUUAGUCUAUUUUUUUUUUUUUUUUGUAUGGAUUAGUGCGGUGGAAGUAUUGUGAAAGUAUGAUAUGUUGCUUGUUCUCAUUCUUACAUGUAAGGUGUUUGCUCACAUUUUCCUAUUUUUAAUACUAUGAUAAGAGCCUCACUGUUACACACAAGCUAGGAGUUUUUGGAGGGUGUGGUCUUGUUCUAUCUAUCAUUAUUGGACCUUUUGGAAUCAAUGUCGGCGAAAUUUCAGGAUCAGAUGAGUCGCCGUAUAUACUUGCUCUAUUUUCUUGCUUCCUGCCCUUUCUAGGAGCUGCAUUGAUCGCAAUUGGUCUCUUUUACCUUGGCUUAGAGCAUCCCAUUGUUGAAGAGGAUGUUGAGGUUAGAAAGUUGGAGCAUUAGGAGCUGGUUCAAAAGUUUCAACAUGAAGCGGAAUCUCACGCCAAAGUUUGCGAAAAUGUCCCCCGAAAAAUUUACCUCCUACUGCUGCAGAUCUACUCCCAAAUGGUGCGGGUUAAACCCUCCUCAGCUGAAAACAUAACAUCAAAGUAUGUCCAAUGUGCGGAUGAUCUAUUGCUGCUCCAUGAGAUGUCGAGUAAGUCUAUGCAAUUCACAGCCUUGAUCUUUAGCCAUCAACUAAAUCUUUGCACUGAAUUGGACAUGGUCAUUGCAUAUGAAAGGUCGCUUGUGCAUAUACAACAAUCUACAUGAGCUCCGUGGCCAUUAGCAUUCUUCGGUACAUAAGGUGAACUUUUCGUCCAAUCUAAACUUGCAAAUGCCUUAUUGACCGACAACAUUGUUUGCUGUCAACAAAUAAGGUGAACUUUGAUGCCCGCCUCAUGAAGGUCUCCUUCUACCUAAAAAAGAAGGGCGUUUCCAAUUCAAUUUACAAUUUGGCUUGUGCGCAUAAGUUCUCUGGAUGUUCACUGGCAAUGUUUGGAGUCAAACUCCAAACUUGCUACUUCCAAACAUUCUACGUACUGGAAGUAGCAAGUUUGCCACAUUUCUAUAACAUGGCUACCCAUUCGUUCUGUCGACUUCCUCGUAAAAAAGGAGGAGAGUUAAAUCAAGCAAGCGAUGUAGGUGUGACUUUGCUACUUUGGCUAUUCAUGCAACAGAGUGCCCAGUUUUUUGGUUCCAUAGGUUCUGAUUAUAGUACUGUAGAUCCUCCUAUUAUCUUUUUCGAGUCCCAAAACUUGAGAUGCAUCAGGUUAUGCACUUGAUCAUUUCAUUCCCAUUUGAUGUUUUACCCUUCUAAUGUUGGAAAUUAGCAUGUGUUAAUCGGGUUUUGACAGUACUGUAAUCAAAUAUAAUUUUUAUACUUCCACAAUCCUUUAGUUUAGUUAACAGAAAACUUAUUACAUUGCAUCUGUCGUCAUUUUCUUGGUAAAAAAUUUAAUAUGAAAAUUAAUUAAAUUUAAUUUAAAACUAAAUUUAUUGAAAAUAUUUAAAAAUAAAAUUAAAAAAUUAAAAAAAUUAAAAAAAUUAAAAAAUUGACAAAAAAUUUAAAAAAAUUAAAACGGAGGCGGCUAAGGGCUAAAAUAUUUUUGUAAAUUUUGUAAAUUUAUUUUUUAAAAUGUUUUAAAUAAAUUUAUUUUUAAAUUUAAUUUAAAUAAUUUUUAUAUUAUAUUAAAAUUCAAUUUAUGCCAAAACGACGUCGUUUUUGCUGAUUUAAGAGUUCUAGUUUGGCGAACACUCAAAACGACGUCAUUUGGGGUGAAUUCAAGCCGACUCAGCUCUCCGGCGAGACACAUUAGCAAGAAAUAUUAAUAUUUUAAUGCCACGUAUGAUUUCCGGCCAACUUCGCCGGAGAUAGCACUCAAGUGUCCCACUUUUCUUAAAAUGUGAUGCUUAAGUAUACCUUUUAUAAGUUAUGACACUUAAGUAUCCAUUUUUGCCAAGUUAUGGCACUUGAAAGGUUCUUUUACCGUUUUCUAACUGUAACUCCUUCUAGAAUUAUUCAUGUCGACUAGCAUUGUCAUACCACUGGUGAAUCUUUAUAUAUAAAACAAUGAUGCAGUUAGUCUUAUAAUAUGCUCGGUACUCAUCUUAGUCUAUUUUUUUUUUUUUUUUUGUAUGGAUUAGUGCGGUGGAAGUAUUGUGAAAGUAUGAUAUGUUGCUUGUUCUCAUUCUUACAUGUAAGGUGUUUGCUCAUUUAAGAGUUCUAGUUUGGCGAACACUCAAAACGACGUCAUUUGGGGUGAAUUCAAGCCGACUCAGCUCUCCGGCGAGACACAUUAGCAAGAAAUAUUAAUAUUUUAAUGCCACGUAUGAUUUCCGGCCAACUUCGCCGGAGAUAGCACUCAAGUGUCCCACUUUUCUUAAAAUGUGAUGCUUAAGUAUACCUUUCGUAAGUUAUGACACUUAAGUAUCCAUUUUUGCCAAGUUAUGGCACUUAAAAGGUUCUUUUACCGUUUUCUAACUGUAACUCCUUCUAGAAUUAUUCAUGUCGACUAGCAUUGUCAUACCACUGGUGAAUCUUUAUAUAUAAAACAAUGAUGCAGUUAGUCUUAUAAUAUGCUCGGUACUCAUCUUAGUCUAUUUUUUUUUUUUUUUUGUAUGGAUUAGUGCGGUGGAAGUAUUGUGAAAGUAUGAUAUGUUGCUUGUUCUCAUUCUUACAUGUAAGGUGUUUGCUCACAUUUUUCUAUUUUUAAUACUAGGAUAAGAGCCUCACUGUUACACACAAGCUAGUAGUUUUUAGAGGGUGUGGUCUUGUCGUAUCUAUCAGGGGUGUAAACGGUUCGGUUCGGUUCGGUUCGGUUUUUCAAAAAAACCGACCCGAACUGAACCGUUAGAAAAAUCUUCCGAACCGAAACCGAAACCGAACCGAACCGAAAUAUCGGUUCGGUUCGGUUUUUCGGUUUUUCGGUUUUCGGUUUUUAGCCUUUGGUUUUUGAUUUUUGUUUUUUGUUUUUUUUUUUUCUGUUAAACUUAGAUUUCUCCACUUUUAUUUCUUUAUUUGUAUUUGUUGGUUCGGUUCGGUUCGGUUAACUGAUAAAAACCGAACCGAACCGAAAAUUUUCGGUUUUUAAUGAAAUCGAACCAAAUGAAAACCGAACCGAAAAAACCGAAUUUUUCGGUUCGGUUCGGUUCGGUUCAGUUUUUGGUUUGGGAACUGACAGCCUUAUCUAUCAUCACUGGACCUUUUGGAAUCAAUGUCGGUGGAAUUCGAAGAUCAGAUGAGUCGCCGUAUGUACUUGCUCCAUUUUCUUGCUUCUUGCCCUUUCUGGGAGCCGCAUUGAUUGCAAUUGGUCUCUUUUACCUUGGCUUAGAGCAUCCCAUUGUUGAAGAGGAUGUUGAGGUCAGAAAGUUGGAGCUUCAGGAGCUGGUUCAAAAGUUUCAACAUGAAGCAAAAUCUCACACCCAAGUUUGCGAAAAUGUCCCUUGAAAGAAUGUACCUCAUACUGCUGUAGAUCUACUCCUAAAUGGUGCGGGUUAUACCCUAUUCAGCCGAAAAUAUAGCAUCAAAGUAUGCCCAAUGUGUGGAUGAUCUACUGCUGCUCCAUGAGAUAUCAAAUAUGUCUAUGCAAUUCACAGCCCUGAUCUUUAGCCAUCAACUAAAUCUUUGCAUUGGAUUGGACAUGGUCAUCACAUAUGAAAGGUUGCUUGUGCAUAUACAAAAAUCAGCAUGAGCUCUACGACCAUUAGCAUUCUUCGGUACAUAAAUUUGUAGUUAUUGUGAGUGCCAAUCUAUUCUUUUGCACAUACGAACAGCUUAUAGUCCUUUAGUCCGGGUCCAAUGCACGAUUGCAGGGUUAAACCGUUAGUAGUAUGUUAAAGUACAAUUCUUCAAUCCCAGUGGUUGAACCCGUGAAUGUUCUCUAUGCUGUUACGACAAUCCUUAGUUGCAUUGAAAAUUUAUACAAACUGAUCAUUCUCAACGCUUCCAAGUGAAAUAUAGAUGUCUGCAGCGCCAUGGCUUCAUCAUCUUGCUCUUGGUGCUAAGCCAACCAGCUUGUCAAACAACUUAGAAUAAUCAGAUAUUUCAUGUUCUCCAAUACUCACCAUUUUUUCAUCUGUUAUAAUAUGAAGAGGUUCUUGCUUCCCGGUUCGACUUCAAUUUAUUUUGUUAUGCCGGGAUCAUGAUCAGAGACGAACCACAAAUGAAGACUGUUUCAAAGAUCCGAGAUUAUGCUGAUUGUGAAGAAGUUUGGAAAUUUAUCUGACUUUGUUUUCUCUUUGAGUUCUUGUCUUUUGUUUCUAUAGCUGUUAGAUAGUAUAUGCAGACUUGAAAGUGAAACAAUAGGCGAUCCGAGGCUCGCCACUAGCCAGAUCGGCGAACCAGCAAGCAUGAGCCUCUAGCUUGCCCAUUUGGCGAGCCUAGAGGCCAAAGGUCGGCGAGCUCGAGGCUCGCCCUUGCUCUUAGGCCUUCACACUUGCCGAGCUUUGGCGAGUGGUGAGUUCAAGGCACGUUGCUCGCUGCUAGCUAGAUUGGUGAACUAGCUGUGAGCGUGAGCCUCUGGCUCAAUAAUCUACUAAGGCUAGAGGCCAGUGUGCCAGCAGAAGCUGGCCUUUGGCCAGCCGUAGGCCAUUGCUAGGGCCGGCAACUGGCCAAAAAAGAAAAAAGAAAAAGAAAAAUUAUUUUAAAAAAAUCAAUUUAAAAAAUAACUUAAAAAUUGAUUUUAGAAAAUAACAUGAUAACAAAUUUAUUAAAAAAAAAGGUGCAUAGAGAAAAAAAUUUCCCUCUCGAACAGUGAAAAAUACUUUCAUGUGUUAGAUGAACAUUGGAAAAUAAUGACAUUUUCCUAAAAAAGGGCUUUUUGGAAAUUUUCAGGAAAAAUGUUGUUUUAAACGAAACCUUGGUAGAAAAGGGAAAGACUUGGUUUUGUUUUAUGUUUUUUUUUUUUUUUAAAUUAUCAUUAUCGGCCAAGCAUUCAAUAUGAACUUAUCCCACUUCUCCACUCCAAUGUCCAAACUUAAGGUAGCAGUCAUUAAAUCGGGACCCUAGUGAGGUUGAACAAAAAUUAAUAAAGAGAACAUUUUAAAUAAUUAUUAGUUCAGCCAUAAACUUAUUAUAUAAACAUCACUUCCAUUUUAAAUUUUUUCAACAUUAGUCUUAUUUUUUUAUGUAGAAUUUCAGUGUAAUGCUUCGACUCGAUUAACGCUAGAAAACACUGAUAUUGCAAUUCAUGAGCAGGGCGUUACGUUGGGUGGUUGAUAAUGAUUCGACACCAUCGCAUGAGUGGAUUUUGGCGGAAAUUAGUCGGAGGGACCAUGUGGAAAUUUUUGCACAAAUGUUUAGGGACUUUAUUAAUAAAAUUGAAAGGUCUAAGAUUGAUCCGUACAAUAAAUUUAUUAUUAAAUUGAUAACUAUAUCUAGAAAGAUUCAUAUUAGGCUCUCGGGAUACAUAGGGACUAAAAAUGCAACAAAAAAUAAAAAGAAAAAGAAAAAAAGAGAAAAAAAAAAAGUCAAUUCGAUGAGCAAUAUCAUCAUCAAGCAGUCACUUUAAAAGCUACUCAUUACAGAAGAAAAUGAAACCAAAUGGAGCUGAAAGAAAAAUAAAAGCUGGGCAUUUAGAAUUUCCAACACGUGAAUGGCGGAGGAAUAGCGUGUUUGACAGUCGAGUGUUGAUGCCGGAGUCCCAUUUUUUUUUUUUUUUUUUAGGAGUAGAUUCAUUCAUCUUGGAAAAUCAAACGUGCACCGGGGCUUCAGUACGUAACGUAGUUCUAAAAGGGCUUUGCGUCAUUGGGCUUUGGCGGCCCAGUCCGCAAUAAAAUUGGCUUCUCUCCUGCAGUGUCGAAUCCGGAGCUUUGAGAAUGGUGGGAUCAGUUCAGUGCACUCAGCCAGUUAAGACGCGAUCUCCGAAAGAGUCAAACUUUGACUCUGCACUGCAGCAACUAGUGUCAGACAGCACUAAAUUUGCUUUCUCUUUCCCUAUCUGCAAAAGGUGUUCUAGGGUAAUAAGAGUUAAACGCCUGCACCACCUCCACUUGCAAAGCUGAAGCAGCAUGAACGCCGCUGGAGAAACCGUCGAUGAGUCUUCCCAAGUGGUCUCGGCAGACGCGAGCCACCGCGCUGUCUUCUCUUCCCGUCGGAAAGGCCCCAUCAACAUGUACUUUCAGUGUUCCGAGCUCCGGUGGACUCCAAACCAGGUUCGAUCCAGUAAGUAUAUGCUGGGUUUUCCAAUACUGCAGACCCCAGAAGCACGAGAUUCUUGCGUUUACUAGUGCUGCGUCCACUAUCGUUGCAGGAUCUGGACGCUGAUUUCUGAAGACAAAGUGAUUGCGCGCUUUCCAUAUUUGCCAGAGGAGUGAGGCGAGAACCUCCAAGUCAGGUGAGUUUGCUCUGUUUUCUCUCAGAUCUGCAAGCGGAGCAUCGAUUCUUGGUAGACCAAAUACUGUUUGUCCAGGGGCAUGGUAGAAAUCGCUUGAUCUGUGUGUCGAUGCCGGAGUUAACUCCGGCAAUAACGAACCCUUUAACGUUGGCAGUUCCCGCCGGUCAACGAAAAUUAUCUGACCCUUUCUGCGGAGGUCCAGACCCAAACCCAAGAUGUGACUCAGUCAGACCAAACAAAAUGACGAGCCUGACCAAAGAUCUCAAGACCUGGCCCCUUAAUGCAUUUGUACUGAAAACGCUAAUGCAGUUUUUUUACUUUUCAGUAACGGCAGAGGAAAAUGUAACUGGAGAAGUUGUUCAGUUCAAUUUUUUCUCAGAUUUGCCUGCUUUCAGCAUCUGCAAUUUUUCCGAUAUUUCCAAUUGGGUCCGAGCCUUCAGUACAUGUAAAUCCAUGUGCAACGAGGCUUCUGUACUGCUUCGACUCCCUCGUGAUGCAAAACAACUGACUACUCUCGAUAUGAGAAAACAUGAUGUGCUAUCCGCCGUGUCCAAUGUCCGCCAGAUUUAACUUGCAUACAUGGUUCUAAGCUUCUCGCUCUCUUUCAUGCAUCAAUUUGCGCACAGAAUUUGCGACACAAUUGCCAGGACUCAAAAGAACCAUCCUUGUCCAUCAAGCAUCUAAAACAGAGGUUGCCCAAUUCGACUCUUAAUUCGGUGAAGAGCUAACGGUUGAAAACUGCUUCUUUCAGGGCAGAUACGAUGCAGAAGCACGAGCCUGGGAAGUUAGAAGCCAAUGUGACAGGUGGGGAAGUUUAAAGCGUGAUCCUUUCUGGGGCGUCUCCUGAUCUGACUUUCAGCCCAACUACCUCUCAAAACCAUGCUUCUGCUCCGCAAUAAAUUGACUUGCAGUUGGCUUUUCAUCACUCGUUUUUUAUCCAAAGAGGACAUAGAAAAAUCCUCUGAAACACCUACGGUUGCUGGGAGUUUUAUGAUGCAGAUUCGCCAUGGAUGAUGAACCUCUCCUCCGCACACCGGGACUCACAGAGAUGUCGACGGUCAGGAGAGAUUUCCCUUAGGUUUUCCUUGAUCUCAACCUCAGCGGCCUCGGCACCAUGCCAAGGCGGCAAUCCGCCCCGCACCUCAUAACCAACGAUGCUAUCAUCCCCAUAAUCACGACGCGGCACUCUUCUCCCUUUGUGAAUCUCAUAGCCAACUUGACCAAGAAGAGACGACUCGCCCACCACUCCCACUUGGCUCCUUCCCAACUCACCUUUCACAAGGAGAGCACCAUCGACGGGGAGGACUCCUGGCCGUCCCUUAAAUGGACCCCUCUGUUUGUCCAGCGGGCAUUGUGGUAUACUUGACGAGCGGGAGUUUCAAAGGCACACCCACGUUCAACCCGGUCGAACCUCUGUACUUCACCGUGGUCACUCUUUGCACGACUGGCUUUGGCCAUGUCGUCCCUGACACGGCGUUCACAAAGCUGUUCAGUUGUGCUUUCAUACUGGUGGGCAUUGGAUUUGUCGGUGUGCUGCUUAAUGGCAUGGUCACCUACAUCUGCGACUGGCUAGAGGCGGUUUUGCUGAGCACUGCGGGUCAAAACAAGUAAAAUGGGAUGUUCAGGACUUACAUGAUCGACAGAGAGAAGGGA
rnacentral:lncRNA from 1 species